rnacentral:lncRNA from 1 species
GACAAAGCUGAAGUUUUCAAGGAACGAGUGGAACUUGAUGACAAGAACCUAGUGAUAAAACUAAUUGGAUUGGAAGGAGACUUGUUUGAGCAUUAUAAAAGCUUCAAUGAAACAUAUAAAGUUGUGAAAAAGGGACCUGGUCAGUGUGCCAUAAUUCUUACCUUAGAGUAUGAGAAACUUCACGAUUGUUCUCCAUCCCCUCAAAAGUACUAUGAUGCUAUGAUUAACCUUGUCAAGAGCAUUGAAUCACAUCUUAAAAAAUAAUGUUUCUUCUGCGCCCAUGAGCGACCCUUUAUGAUAUAUGAAUAAGUAAUGUCAUCGUAGAGGUGAUUGAGGAUUUUGUGAAAGUAAAUAAAUGGUUAUAUCCUCAUGUUAAAUGGAUGAAAUAAUAUAUUGUACUACUGAAGAAAUAUAUAUAACUUCCGUUAUGUUUGAAAAUAAUAAUUGAUAGUUUUUUAUUAUUAAUAUUAUAUUCUUUGCUCCCUCUCAAAUUUGACAGAGCUUAUUUUCACAAACAUUUAUUUUUCACAUUAAAUGUGUCGAGGAAACUACGAAUGAAAAAUAUGGUACAUUCCACCUCUAACGUAAAUGAUAUAAUUUUUAGUUUAAAAAAUGUAUGUAAUAAAAAACUUGACUAUUUACAUGACCAAUCUAAUAAAAAUAAAAUACACUCAUUGAGUUGACGUAUAUUUAAUUUUUGAGAUUUUAAAAUAUAUGAUUUAGUCUCUUAAAUUUGAAAAAUAAUUUUAAAAUUGACUAAAUUUUAAACCAACAGAAUAUUUACUACAUUAAUUAUAUUAGAGAACACAGUUAAGUUUUUUAUAUUAUUUUAAAAAGUCAUUUAAAAGAUGAAAUGAAAAAUUAUUUGACAAAGUUAAUAACAACAAUAAAAAAAAAUGGCCCUCAUACUUCAUCCUCUCAUCAGUCAUCUCCCAAGCUUUCUCCGGCCACUUAAAUGACCUCGACCUCGCUGCCUUUUCCAUGGCCGUUAUCGUUGUCUUAGACAUGGUUCCCCUGAUAUACCUAAAGCCCUAACUCUGUUUUCUCUAAUUUAAUUGUGGAGAUGCUAUGCAGGAAAGCGUACGGGUCAAAGAAAUAUUGUUCAUGUUGGGAGUUUAUUUGCAGCGCUCAUGGACCUUCUCUUUCUAUGCUGUCCUUCUUUUGUUGCAUAUUUUCUUCAUUGCGUCUCCAUAUUGCUGAUACCUCAAAGGUAUAACAGCCAGCUUCCUCUGCCAAUUUAAUAUUUUCAACAUGGAUACUUCCUUCUCACUUUAGCUUUGCGUUUUACUUUUCAUUGCAAUUUUUUUCAAGAGCCAAGUGAAGGUCUGGGCGAUUUUGUGGUCGGCGUCGGCGGGUAGUUGGGUGCUUGUAGGUUGAACUUAAAAUGGGUGUGGUGGAAAUUGCAGCGGCUUGCAAUAUUUAUUGCAAACCUUGGGGACAAUUAGUUUCUUUAAUCUCUCUAUCUAAAAGGCAAUCUGUUUGCUUUUAGGUUUCUAACUUGUUAACCAUUUUCUGUUUGUUAACAGAACACAUGGAAAUAUUAUUUUGGGAGAUCAUUUCUUUAGGACAACUUUUUUAAUUUCUUUGCUUGGCAAGCUAAAACUUCAUUUAUUUGAUCUUUUCAUCUUUCCUUUGAGUGAUUCGUUUGGUCUACAAUUCCUGAAUUAAAUUAGGUUUAUUUAUGUAUGUAUAGAUGGUUAUGAAGUUCUAGCUUUUUUGGUUACUGUCACGCCCCCGCUCGAAACGUGCCCUCUACGUACCGAGUAUAGACAUGACUUGAGCAAACCGACGUUUCGAGGUGCACCAGAAUGCUUAGGUACUUCUUUAAACAUAAGUUAAGCUUUAGGCGUGAUCAUGCUGACAAACGAUUGUACUAAGGAGUAGGACAACAUGCAAUAUAUAUAAAAAUUAGCAAUCCUUUUAUUAACAAUCGUGUUACAACACAAGCGUACAACUUACAACAUAAAAGACUAAAAAACUCAAGCUAACUAGUACUAUGCAACACAACAAGUACUUAGCAGUGACCUCCUCUUGUUUUGCCUGAUGACACUUUUUCGUUUAACUUGAAAAGGGAAAACUUAAAAUGUAAGCUAAUAGCUUAGUGAGUGACAAAAAUUUACAAAUACAUUUUGGGAAAUACAAUUAAACACAAUAAGACCUUUCUCAUUUUUAGAAACAUCUUACUGCCUCACUAUGCUUUUAUUGGCACAAAUAACCACAUUUGCCUCUACCUAUUUUCUUAUCGUCGUCUGGAUAUUAAACUCCCUCAAUGUAAGGAUUGUUGUGAUGAUUACUUCACCACUAGCAUUUCUACAUACACUCCUUCAAUACUAGUUGCUUCCAUGAUCUGCUUGAACACAGACCACUCAACGCGUUCAACUAUCCUUCUACCAAGCAGACAACUGAAUGUAUGACAACCUCUACUCUAUUGUGCAUACAAUAUAUAGCUAGCUUUUGAUCUAAAAUAAGGCUAAUAGUUUUGUAUACAUACAAGCAUCACAACAAUACAAUUUCACAUAUAGACAGACUUGAAAAUUAGUCAUGGUUUUUUAAUGUAUAAAUGAGAUUACAACAUGAGCAUAUUUAACAUGGCAAUAUAACAUGAUUUUGGUGGUAAAAACAUUUUUCAAAAGCUUUCUUUUCUUUUGGAGGGUCGCUCACGUAGUUAAGCUUUUCUUUCUCCCUUACUCUCCUUCUUAUCACCUAACUCUUCUUCCCACUUUUUGCCUGCUCCUAUAAUGAAACUUCACCUUUUCCUCCGUAGAAUUUUCUCUUAUCUAAACACUUGAAUUAAUCCUUCCUCAAAGCUAUUUAUACUAUUCUCAAAUCAAAUUAGUCAGCAUUACACUUCUCCUAAAUUCAACAGUUCCUACUUAGUGCAUUACACGUACGUGUUAGUUUAGUAUCCUUCUUAAACCACAGUCUUAAUUUAACUUAACCUGUGUUUAGCUGACUAAUAAUGCUCCUUCUCACCUAGCUUGUCACUUGAAAAAUUGAUUUAUGUUCGUUGUCUCCUUCCCUUCUUGCAAUACUUUGUUGUACCGUGUUGCCUUUCUUCACAAUGUCUUAUCUGAUCUUUUUACCCUCUGCUCCUUCCUCACAUUAUCUCAAAACAUACUUAAGCUCAAAUAUGCUACUUCAAAAAUUAAUUUAGAAGAACCUCUCUUUUAGGACGCAAGUUUCAUAAUUCUUCCCUCUUUAGUAAUUUCGUCCUCCAAAUUCUACCUUUUUUCCUUUAGUUAAACUUGGCACCCUAACGGCGAUUGUUGCACUGAGUGGGACACGACUCCUUGUUGGGUAGUACCUUGUUUAGGUUUUCAUUGGGAUUCCUUUCCAUAGUGCCCUUCUUCUCUAAAAUUGAAACAGAUAAUUGUACUUCUUCAUAACCUACCUACAUGCUUUCGACCACACUCAAUGCAUUGAGGUUUGUGAGUUCCACUUUAGAAUGAUUAUGUGUAGCUUAUUUUCAUUCUUUUGUUUUCUCUAACUUCUUUCUUUCUUACUCUUCUCUUUUCCUUCUUCAUCAACUCCUCCACUUCCUUCAAAAGCUUGCUUUAUGAAUUGAAAUUGAUUGUUUCUUUCUUACUGCUAUCUUAAACUGAUAAAAGGUGUUCUUGAUAGCUUGAUCUUGGUGAAAUGAAUCCUAAAUCUAGGCAAUGUUGUAUCUCGAGAAGCUCGUAAAAGUGAGUCCCAGGUUUGAGAAAAUAAUGAUUUUGCAAGACGUUGGUGAAGUGAACCUAGGUCUAGCCGAUUAGAACUUCAAAGUCCUGCGUUUGAAUAUCAACCAAAAUUAAUCUAUGAGUUUUCAACCUGAAAUUCAAACAGCCACGUGUCUCCCAUCCAAGUUCUUUGCAUCUUCUAGGUCACAAGUCCAAAUUAUCCUACACGCCCUUUUCUUUACUUUUACGUGAAAAAUCCCAAACUAAACAUUUAUUUUCUUCAUAUUCUUCACCAUAUUUCCCAAUUUUCUUCCAUUUUUUGACCAGAAGUUACAUCUCAACCGCCCUAAAAUAUUAUAGAUUACCAAAAAACCACGAAAAAAACCCUCUCCAAAACCCAUUCCAAACCCAUUUUUUCUCCCAAAAAAUUUUAUCCAUUUUCUUGAUUCUCAUGGAAGGGUAAGUGUUUUAUGAGGUAAAGAGUAAUUGGGUUGAGUUUUCUUUUAUGGGGGCCUCUACUUUUUUGCAAGAUUGUAAAUUUUUUCUUUAUUUAUUCAAGAACUCUACUUUACUUUCUUAUAAAAUUGUUGUAAUUUAUAUUCUUGUGAACUAAUCAUUCCGAAAGUUCAAGCAAUAAUUUGCCACGCAUGAAAUGUACUAAUUUAGAGAAAUAAAGUUGACAAUUGUUUGUUUUUUUUAUAAUUCUUGAUUCUUUGAUAAAUUUUGUUCAUAGUUUGAGUUGAGAUGGCUAGAUUUACUUUAAAUUUUGUUCAGUGUAAUAAAAUAUAUCCUUUCUCUUGGACGAAUUUAAUUUUCUUGAACCCAAUUUGUCAUUUUAUUCAAGGUAUGCAAUGUGCCAUUUUUUUUGGAAAUUUAAAGGAAACCUCGUUGAAUGGUGAAUUAUUUUCUAUCAUUUUUUUCUAGCGUUUGUGUCUGGCAAUCUUUUGAUUUGGUAAUUCUUGGAAUAAAUAUUCAUGCUAUGCACUUGUUUGUUGAACAAAUGAUGGGUAAAUAAAGCAAUUUCUUUUAUAUGCAUAUUUGUUUUUAUUCUUGUUAGGUAAAAGGUGUGAAUCUUGAACAAAUUAAUUUUGGUGUUCAAGAAAUUUGAUCCCAAAGUUAAUUUGACCAAUAAUCUUUUAAACCUUUCAAUUUUUACUUUCCAUUUUUGGAUCCCCAAGGAUAGAAAACCCUCGUAUACUCAAUUACUCUGGCCUCACAUUUAUUAGUUGAGUAUUUUUUUCACAUAUUUUACUAUCUUGAGUUGGAACAACCUAGAAUUUACUUUGUUACUUGUCACAACAUGAUUCUUUAAAUUUCUUGCUUAAUCUUUUCAUGCUUUCUUAGUUUAUCUAACACUCUUUUCUAGUUUCAAUUCAAGUUAGAAUUAUUUCCACUCCCUUGGUUCGACACUCUCACUUGCCACCACACUAUGGUAAUAAGUGGGUUUUUAUAAAUAAUCUUUUGUCAAGGUGAAUUGGUACGUCUCUAUCCUUUUCCUAAUCAACUAGUGUUCCAUUUUCCAUAUAAUUAGCAUAUAUUGUUACAUGAUUACCAUUUAAAUGGGCUUGCCAAUUACAUAUUACAUACAACAUUCAAGCCUUGCCAGCGAGUAAAUGCCGGUGAAAGUGAAUCCUAGUCUGAGCAAGGGAUAAAAAUGUGUUCUUGAUAGCUAGAUGCUGGGGGAAGGUGAAUUUCAUGUAUAGGCAAUGAGAUGCUGAUAAAAGUGAAUCUCAGAUUUGAGAAAACAAUGAUUUUGCUAGACGCUGGCGAAAUCCCAAGUCUAGGCGAUUAGAUGUUGUGAAGUGCAUCCCAGGUCUAGGAGAUUAGAUGUUGUGAAUGGGAGAAUCCCAAAUUUUGGCAAUGAAUAAUGAACAUCCUGAUGAAUGAAACACGUGGAAUUUCUUUGAUUGUUGUGUUUAUGAUUUAAUGCUAUGAGAAUUUAUGUUCUUAAGAUUAAGAUUGUUGUUAAUGAAAAUGUUGUAUUCCCCCUAAUAAGGUAUUUCUUAAACCCAUCACACACUAAGUCUUUAACUAACCUUUUAGUUUUCUCCUCCCCAAGUUGUCAGGCGUUGAAGAUAAGUAAAGAAUGAAUGUCAGGUGUAGAAGCCAAGUAAAGAAGGGAAAUGUCCGUUAUCAUGUAAACCCAUUUCACAUUUGAGGAGUUGGCAGGCAAUUCUUAUACUCCUAAAUGUUGAGGGCUACAACUCAAUUUUGAGGAGAAGUUGAAUGCUUCAGCACAAUUUUGAAGAGAUGCCAAGGGCAGCAUCACAAUUUUGUCUUGCCGAAGAAGACGAGUGGAAGAAAUGAGCCAAGAAUGAAGAGCCUAAAGUUAUCAAUUUAGUCUUGUCAUAAUUGUAGAAGUGUGAAAUUCAGUUGUACUUAGUGUAAUGAGUUAAGUGAAUAAAGCGAAAAAGUUAAGCAUAUUCAGCUACAUCAUUGUUAUUAUUUGCCAUAUCCUGUAAAAGUUAAAAGUUAUUUUCAAUCAAGUAAUGAGGGCUAGGUGAUGGAGCUAACUCUAAAAUUUGUUUUAAGCUAUUAUAAGCUAUAAGGGUCUAAGUCUAAAGUAGAAGCUUUGCGAAGAGAUAAGUUCAAGAAGUUGCUCUGCUUACUAGGCAUUUAGCGUGUUAUCUCGCGAUGGGUACCUAGGCGGCACAUCCCAAUCUAGUCGCAUGGAAUGGAAUUUGGGAUGGUGUAUGACAUGAUCGUUUGAAGGUAGAAAACUAAACGAUCACGUAAGAGGGUAAACGAUCGUAUAGAAAGCUAAACAAUCGUGUAACAGGUUGCAGAGUAAACGAUUGUGAUAACAUUUCCUUCAGAACCAAACAUAGUUAUGAAUGUCAAGUAGUUACAACAGUUUUAAACUUUACAAACAUUAGGAAUGAAAAAAUAAAACAAUACAACCCGAUAACCCAACCCAACCCAACCCAUAUUUUAUGGGUUGGAUUGGAAAAUUAAUUCGGGUUAUUUGGGUUGCCAAAUCAACCAACCUGAAAAUAUGGAUUGGGUUGAGAAUAUCUCCCAACCCAACCCUACUCGUUUACAUCCAUAAUUCUAGUGUCAUGUAUGCCUUUUUUUUUUCAAAUUAAAUAUCCUAAUUGUUAAAGAUUAUGAGAUUGACGAUCUUUGUUUUUACAUCUUUAAAUGUUACUAGAGAUGUCGUUGCAUUGGUGGUUUUUGGAAGAAAAAUGUUGAAUGGAAAUGUUGUUCUGCAAAAUACCCUUCUUAUCGUUUCUUUCUUUUGUUCCCUUAUUUGCCAAUAUCUUUUGCUUACUUUGUAUGUAGCUGCAGUGGAAGAUAGGGUUUCUUUUUAGUGUUUCUAUUGGACAUACUUAAAGGACACUUAGUCUUUCGGCUAGGACUAGUCGUUAUGUUAUUUCUUGAGCAAUAUUUUUCUGUAGAAGUGUGUUGGUAUCGAUCUUGGUUGUAAGAAGAAGAGAGUUGAAUCACUUAUUUCAACUUACUUACUACACGUGUAUAUUGUGAUUCAUUUAUGAAGGGAUUCUCAAAACUAAAACGAGCUUGUGCUAUUCAAGAAAAGAUGUCUUUGUUCUUAGAAUGAAUGGUAUACAAUAAAAGUGAGAAGGAAUCUCAUGACUCAAGGGAAGCUAUCAAGGCUUGUCGAGAGCCAGGUUUAUGUCUUAGAAGGAACCUAAAACUCUCUUCACUAAUAAUACAACUUAUGCAAGCCUACGAUAUAAGAGAAGUCUCAAACCUAGGGGAGUCUGGGUGUGCAGUAGAAUGAUAAAACUAUUCAGAAGUCAUAUAUUUGCGUUAUCAUUAAAGAUAAGUACUACGAUGUAAUUGGUUAUCAUUGUUAUUAGUGAAUGUAAUGUAUCUUUCUUAGGUACACUACCCGCUAGAUGUAUAAAACUAGGUUACCAAUCUUGUGUUCAUUUGUCACUGUACUAUUUGUUUGUAACUAUUGUGUGAAAUGUUGUAACAUUAUCGUGGGUAACAUAGUUUAUUUCAUGUUGUAGACAAGUACUUUCUUAAUUUCACUGUAAUUAUGGUUACUUUGCAACCACUAUAAUAUUUUAUAGCUUGUUUACAUGGACUAUUUUCAUAAAUUACAUGCUUAUUAGUUCUGUAUAUAUAGUUAUUUGCUGAAAAUAUUAUAUAAAUAUUUGGGAUUUUUUUAAAAAUAGAACAAAUGGGCAAAAUAUUUACAGUGUAGAGAACAAUUUCGAAAAAGAAAAAAAGCUCAUAGGCCCACAAUUGAAAAUACCAAAAAUGCCCCGAUCAAUACGCCAUUAGCCGGUCACACGUGUGUGUAGUUCUUCUAAAUGAUCGUGAACCAAGAUCGUUUAGAUAUUGUUACAUGAUCGAGUACGAAGAUCUAAAUGGUCAUGUGCAAAAUCUAAACGAUUUUUGUUCAAGAUCGUGUGUCAAGAUCUAAACAAUCAUGUACAAAGUUCUAGACAAUCAUGUACCAAGAUCUAAAAGAUUUUUGUUGAAGAUUGUGUACCAAGAUCUUUUAUAUUUGGUACAUGAUCUUGUACCAACAUCGUAUAGAUUUUGUACACGAUUAUGUAUAAAGAGCUAGACGAUCGUAUACAGAGAUUUAAAGCUUUGGUAUAUGAUCCUUUAGAUCUGAAAGAGGAAAUAUAUGAGAGAUGACAAAAAUUGUUCACCAAAUGGAGAUUUGAAGCAGUGAAAAAGAAAGACAUAAAGGAAAGAAUAAUAAUAAUCGUGGAACAAUGACAAUGGUUUUGAAAAAAAUAUAAAAAAAAAAUCCAAAAAAAAAAGGAGAUGGAAGAUAAUGAAAAGGAAAAAGGAAGAAAUGAAAGUCUAAGUAUUUAAAACAAUCAAAUCGACUAGAACAAACCUGUAUUAUUUUUAAAGAAAGGGUCGACUUCAUGAACUUUUGUAUUAUUUUUAAGGAAAGGGUCGACUUCAUGAACUUUUAGAUUAUUAGAUUAUUGGUGUUUGGUUAUGUUUAUAAAAAGUAACCUUAUAAAAAAAGAAAGAGAGAAUUCAAGAGUAAAAUAUUAUUGAUUAUUCAAUAUGUUUCCAAUUGAAGUUGUUCUUCCUUAUCAAUUUUGGGAUAGUUGUACAUUAAUUAAUAGUUAAAUCAUCACAUCAUGCUAAAAAUAGGCUCAUCCCGUCAACAUUCAAAUUGUUUCAAAGAAUAUAUUCACAGCGAAUAAAUAACUAGUUUUUUUAAAGAUAUACUUUUCUCCCCUUGAGUUUAGAUUCCAAAUUAAUUUGGAUUAGGUUGAGUUUAAUAUCCAUUUGGAUUAACUGUUUUUUACUUUAAAAUUUAUGCAUGAUUCAGUUGAUCUUCUUAAUAGUUUGUAUGUUUUUGUGUACAAGUUGUCGCCACAUGCCCGAGACGACGCGGAGCGGUCGACAUCUUUAAAAGUGUUAGUUUUAAAAUGAAAUAAGAGUCGCCACCAAUCUUUUUUUACGGUGCGAUUGAAUACUGAAAUACAAUAAACAACUUUUAAAAAAUGGUCUGCGAAAAAUAGAAUUGAGUUCGGGAGUCAUUUGUGUGUGGGGAAGGUAUUAGCACCCCACAACACCCAUUUAGGAAAACGAUGACCAAAUUUAAAAUCUUGAAUUGAAAAUAUUUUUAAAUUUAUUUUAAAACUAUUGUUUUAUUUCAUCCCUCGUUACUCCAAUAUUUGAAGCAAUGAUCUCAUAAAAUAAGUGGAAUUAUAUUUCAUUAAUUAGACUAUAUAUUGAAUGAGAGUUUCUCACCUUAAGAAAAUGAGAAAUUAUUACAAUUUCUCAAAAUCUAUCGUAGGCUAGUCUUUGAAUAAAGAUUUUUUUUUUAAAACAUUGAUUAAAUUCAUUUUUUAUUGGGAUCGAAUCUCGGACUUCCAAAGAUGUGAUCCCUCACCUUAAAAAUUCUAGGAAAUCAGACUCCCAAAUUUCCUAGAUUCCAUCAUAGGAGUAUUUUUAGCGAAAUAGAAGUUAGUUAUUAAAAAAGUUGAUUAAGGAAAACAUAUGAAAUAUAGAUUUAUAUUUUUAAAAAAAUUAAAAGGAAUAGUUGUAAAUUAAAAAUUUCUCAACAGUUAAAAAAGGAAAUUUAAUAAAGAUCUUCAAAAUUAGGUCAAUAGAAAAUAAUGCACAAUAGAAUCAAAUAUAAUAUACCCUAAAUUAAGAUAAAAUUUUAUUUUUUAAAAAAAGUAUUGGAAAUCGAAUCUUGGAUUCCCAAAGAACCGAUUCCCUCAUCUCAAGAAUUUAGAAAUAACGGACUUCGAUAUUUCUAAUUCCAUCGUCGGAUUUGUUUUUAGAAUGAAAAAAUGUAAAAAAAAAAAUAUGAUGUAAGGAGAAAAAAAAUUAAAUAAUUGAUAUGAAAUACCAUGAUAAUAUUGCAAAGUGUAAAAAAUAUUCAUAAAUUUAAUAUUACAUGAUAAUAAUUAUUAUGCAUGCAAGAAAAGCAAGUUAAAAAAAAUAAAUAUACAAGGAAAAUACAACUGGUAGACAACUACAACAAAUAAAUAUAUAAAUAAUAAUAAAAAAGAUAAAAGGAAAAAAAAGGACGUUUUUUUUUUAAACCUUGCCGCCACCAUAUAUAUAAUAAUAAUAAUGAUGACGAUAAUAAUAAUAAUAAAAAAAUAUAUAAAAGUAUUAACCGUAAAAGAAAAGAAAAAAAAUAGAUUUUCAAAUCCCAAAUAAAAUUUACUCGUCGAUGAGGUGCGGAUCGGAGUAAAUCCCUACCACAUGAACCUCCAACAAAGUGUAUUUUAAAAUGGAAUUUGAUUUACUAACGAGAAAAAAAAAAAAAAAAGUAAAACACUAACGUAAUGAAAAGAAUAAGAAAACUUACCUUUUUAAGAGAUUCUUUCUAAAAGAUUUUCUAACGUUUUCUAGACUUUUUGUAAGAAAAUUUUCACCAAAGAAUUCUUUGUUAAAAAAACUAUUCCUCCCCUUUUUCAAAUGACAAGGGUCCCUAUUACAAAGGUGUUGCCUUGAUCUUGAAGGUAGCCAAUAGAAAAUAACCUUCCAUUUCUCUAGGGAUCUUAGGCAGUGCUUUAUUUCCAAUUGGGAUGUUCCAAAUUUUGCAAGCAUGGAAAAAUCAACUCAUCAUAUGGAAAUGCGCUACUAAAGAUGACGGAAACAAAUGCUUCAUUAUCAUUUUUUACUUUAUUUUUCUUUACUUUUCAUCUUCAUAGUUCACUUGUUUAAAUGAUGGUAUUGACACAUGGCUGAUAAUGCUCUGCCCCGAGCUGAUCUUAUGCACUUCAUCUUUUCUUUUAGUGGGAUCGUACUUUAAUGAUGUUAACUUCUACUUCUGUAUCAUUCGUAAUCUCUUUCCUUCAAACAUCAUUAUCAUAAUAUGAGAGGCAUUUUAUCACAGUAUGGAACAGUCAAAACACUGGUGACAUUUCCUUACUCACUCAGAAGUGGUUGCCUCCGAUCAAUAUUUUUUUUUUUUACAUCCUUAAGGAUAUUUCUUAAAAGUGGUUAAUGCUUCAUUUUAUACACGGAAGAUUUAAAUGGUACGAGACCAAACUAAUAAUGUCCUUAUAAUUUUUCAAUACUUGCACACUUGAGAGAUAUCCAACUACAUAUACCAAAGAGCAGUUGAGCUCAAUUAGGCUAUCGUCUUAUUAACAAACAACUAAAAAAGGUGGGAUCAGGAGGCGCACCAGAACAUCUCAACUAGGUUGACACCUUCGUCAUACCACAUACUUAAUAAAAAAAUAUGCUCCUUAUCAUGAGAUCAAAUAGUGACAAAACGUUCUUGGAACUGGUGAAAAGAAAUUGUCAUUGUGGAAGUGGAUUGACAUCCUUCAAUCGUAUAUAAUGAAAUGACUUUCAUUAAACUUUCCAAAUUUUAGCCUCUUGAACUUGGGUGUUGUAAUGAUGAUGUCUAAGACUAGACACAAUUGUGUCGCCUUAAUUUCUUCAUAAAUGUUGUUCUUUAUUACACUUAAUCUCUCUUCUAGAAACUUUGAUAUAAACUUCUUUUGAGAUUUGUCUUCAAAGGUCUUCAUGUCAGUUUUCUCAUUCACCGUAGAAUCUAAGUCAUUCAAAUGGCACAUUUUUUGUGGAGCUCGACCACACUCUUUGUGUCAAGUAUGCCCUCAAGUUUAACCAAUGAUGAAUCUAAUAGUUUUUUUAGCAGUAAGAGCAUGUGGGUAUAAGGAGAAACAUCGUUUGAAGGUUGGUUCUAUACCAAUUUCACUUAUUUGAAUGCCCCUGCUAGUGGUCUAUCCUUAAUUUAAGCGAGAGACUUUAAAACCACUACCACUUGUCCUUUUAACACUUUGACACAUCUUUCCUGGUUACUUACACUUGGUUGGAAAACUUUUCCAUGACCUCGACCAAUAAUGAAUGAUGGGUGAAAAUCUUUUCCACUAUUUGUAAAAUCUUUGACUCUUUUGAUCUUUCUAAAGAGAGAGAAUGGUUAAAUUAUUUGAAGUUAUUUAUUAGAGUGAGGUUUAUGCAUAUGAAAUUUCAUCAACAAUGCAACAAUUAUCAUUCUAAAGUGAAUAAAAAUGACUACUAAUAUUUUCAAGAAGAAAUAGCUAAAUGCAAUGACAAAGGAGAUUUUAAAAUAAAAUACUAGCCAACAACUUAAACAUACAUACAAGUAUGUGUUGAUAAACAUAUGAUUAUAAUGCAUGAUAAAGAAAUUACUCUUAGUGUUUGAUCAUGCAAGUAAAAAGAAUAAUGAUGAGAUAAUAGCAUAAUAUAACACUAUCCAUGAUAUAUAUAUAUAUUGCUUAAAAGAAAAUUUUCUUUUUGACAGUUAUUCACACUAUUUAAGCUUAUAUUUAAAAAAAUCAUUAACGUUAAAGUAUUAUUAGUUAUUUAUUAAAUGAGACAACAAAAAUACCUUAGUAAAAAUGUGAUUUCUAAUGAAGACAUCAAAAUUUACUUAAUGCAGAUCAAAUGGAUAAAAAUAUGGUUAUAUGAGAUGAAAAAGUUAAUAGAUAAAACUCAACUCAAAAGUUUUAUGAAACCCAAAAGUUUUAUUAAUCAAUUAUUUUAAGCAUAUAGUGAUUUAAGGGCUUCUCUUUCAAUUAAUUAGUCAAAUUUGUUUCAUGGCUAUCAAGUAAAAUGUCCAAAUUUAUUUUAAGAAAAUUGAAAAAUUAAAUUUUUUUAUUAUUUUAUUGGAUUAUUUUUUUCUUUGAAAAUAUUUGCCCAUUUUUAAAAUAACUUUUAAAAUAUUCACACAUCAAUAAAUAUGCAUGUUAUUUCACAAAAAUAAAAUGAAGAAACAAAAAUGAAAGUUACACAAUAGGCUUUCCUUUUCUUUUCUUUUUUUUUUUCUUACAAAUUCUUCUUAUAUGAUCAUAUUUUUUAGUAUUUCAAAAAAUCGUUUUUAGUAUUUCAAAUGAUCAUCCUCAAAAAUUUAGUUUUUAAUGCUAAUGUUAUUUAAUUGUGGCAUGAUUUUUUUAUUUAGAUUUAAAUAGUUAAUAUAUUAAAAAAAUUAUUAAAUGAUACUAAAUUACUUAAUAUAUAUUCUUUUUAGGGAAAUUUUUUUGGAUAAAUAUGUAUUUCAAAAACUUUUUUUUAAAAAAAAAAAAAAAGUGUUCAACCUUUGAAAUAUAUGAAGAAAAGUUGUUGAAAUCUCUUUAAAAUAUUUUUUUUUGAAAUAUGAAAAAAAAAACUAUAUAAAACUUCAACAAAUUAUUGAUAUGUCAAUUGAUUAAGAAAAAUCGAAAUUGGCAAAUGAAAUAUUGUUAAACUAAAAAAAUUUAUUCAAUUGUGAUAAUUGAACAAACAUAAGUAAAAAAAAUCAAUCAAUGAAAUUAAAAGGAUAUACAUGUGUAAAUGCAUGUGUAAAUGCAUGUUGUAAAAUUGACGUUAAUUCUAAAAUUCCUAAAUGAUAAACGUUCCUAAUUUGGUCAAAGUCAUACAUGACGAAUUGACCAAGUUGAGUGAGAAUUUUUUGUGUGCCUGCACGGAAGCAUGAGCUUCUCGAAGGUCAACACUACUCCGUUCACAAUUCUAAUCUUAUGAAGGUAAAGCCUGGGUAGGAGGCUCGUGAUUGUGUGUGUAAUAGUUAAAUGCACAAUAACUACACACAAUAAAUUAGAAUAAAAUUAAAGAAUAAAAUAAUUAAGAUAAAAGAAAAAAUGGCCAAACUCUCGAGGUAAAGCCUCAUGUCCCUAGUGGAGUCGCCAUGCUGUGAGGAUCAAAGCUCCACCGAUAAUGCCAAGAACUUAAACAAUAAGUUAAUGAAAGAUUUAUUUAAUCAGUUUAAAAUUAAGCACUCUAAUUCUACCCCGUACUGCCCUAAGAUGAAUGGAGCAGUAGAGGCGGCAAAUAAAAAUAUCAAAAAAAUCAUUGAAAAGAUGACUGUCACAUAUAAAGAUUGGCAUGAGAUGUUACCAUUUGCAUUACACUGUUACCGAACGUCAGUUCGCACAUCAAUUGGGGCAACUCCUUUUUCUUUGGUGUAUGGCAUGGAAGCUGUUUUGCCUAUUGAGGUCGAGGUGCUAUCCCUCAGGGUAAUUAAAGAAGCGAAACUAGAAGAAGCUGAAUGGACACGAGCAAGGUACGAAGAAUUAAACUUCAUAGAAGAGAAAAGGUUGACUACGUUGUGUAGAGGACAACUUUAUCAGAAGAAAUAAAUGACUCGUGCAUACGAUAGAAAAGUUCGACAACGUUGUUUUCAAGAAGGGGACUUGGUCUUAAAAAGGAUCCUACCAUUUUAAAAAGAUCAUAGAGGAAAGUGGACCCCUAAUUAUGAGGGACCAUACGUAGUAAAAAAGGCAUUCUCUGGUGGAGCUUUGAUCCUCACACAAGUUCUUAGUCAAAUUAAGAAAAAUGAGAACAAGUUUUUAUGAACAAUCAUUUUAGUUUUAAAAAAUUGACCUUGUUUUCAAAGACAGGAUAAAAGGUAGAUAAAAGAAUAAUCAAAUUUAGAGAUAAAAGAGUUGUUUGUGGACUAGCAAAUGUGGAGAGUUUUCAAAUCCACUACUACAAAAACAGGCUCUCUUGACGUUUGCAGUUUUCCUUUCUUGAUGUGUUUUUUGAAAAACGUCAAGAAAGAUUUCAUUUUUAAUAAAAAACGUCAAUAAAUUUUCUGAAACAACUUUCUUGACGUUUUUAAAACAUCAAGAAAUAUCUAUUAAUUUUUUGACGUUCUUAAAACGUCAAGAAGCGUAUGAAUUCAACAUGUUUGACAUUUAUUAAACGUCAAGAAUUUAAAGUUUUAAAAACGUCAAGAAAUUUAUAAAAAAAUUAAUGAUGUUUUUUAAAUGUCAAGAUAAUUUCUAUAAAAAUCCUUGACGUUUUAAAAAAUGUCAAGAAAUUUUAAAAAUAUUCUUGACGUUUUUAAAACGUCAAGAAUGUUUUGAAAAUUUCAUUCGUAAAACGACGACGUUUUAUUUAUCACAUUUUCCCUUUUCUAAAACCAAUCUGUCGCGCGUUUUUUCAGAAAAUCUCAAACUCUCCCUCGUUUGUUCGUCGUUCUCCCUUCGCGCUAUCACUGUUCAUCAUUCUCCUUCGUGCCUCCGUUCACCAUUGUUCACCGUUCUCCGUUCAUCGUUCACCGUUCACCGUUCACCGUUCAAAACUCGUAAUUACCUUCUCUGUUCGAAAACCCGUGAACACAUUCACCUCUGUACGAAACCCGUAAUCACCUCUAUUUGCCUCCAAAUCCUUUGUAAAAGGUAAUAGUUUCACUUCUUUACUUUGUGAUUAGAACUUGUAAUCUGCAAUUUAAAAUUGGGAUGUGUUUAUUGCCUUUUUUCCCUUUGUGAUUAAAGCUUACAAUCUGUAAUUUCCUUUGUGUUUAUUGCCUUUUUUCCCUUCAUACAAUAAGGCUUAUUAUUUGUGAAUUUCUCACAUUAAUUUACUAGGUUGUGGCAUUGGAAAUUAAUUAGUUUAUGUUUAAAGGUUUAAUUUCUUCUUGUGAUGAACCUAUACACAUCCAUAUGAUUAUUUAAGAAAACCAUUGCUCUUUGAUUUUACUUUAAUUUUUUCUCUGAAUCAAAUAUGUUAAAGUUGAUCAAAGUUGAGGUAUUAUUAUUGGCGAAAGAAGUGCCCACUACUACUUUAACCACAAAAAAGAAAAGGGAAUGGGAAAAAAGAGGGCAUAAAGAAAAUGAAUGAAUGUAGACUUGUUUAGGGAUGAAUUGAGACUUUGGGAAGAGUGAAAUGCUUAGGAAAAAGGAUUGCUUAAAAUAUUUGAAAGAAAUUUGUAGUACGAGUUUUAGGGAUCCUUUGUUGAAAAACUAUCACUUAUCUGAUUUUCUAAGUAAGAGAAGGCUUGUAGAAAAGUUAAAUGUAGACUUGUAGACUUGUAGGAAGUUCCAAUUGAAGAGACGAAGAAGAACAUAGUAAAAUGCUCACAUAGAUUACAGAGAAAACAAAAGAAUUCAACUGGGUUGGUAGGUGCUUUUCUUGUUCCGUAGGCUGGCUGUAACCUUGGUUUUUAAGAAUAUCUUGCCCUCUUGCUGAGUAGGCUGACUGUAACCUUGGUUUUUUUCUUUUAAUCUAGAUAAGUUCUUCGUAGUAAUUACAAGUCUUAUCUCUCUUUGGAUUCUACUAAAAAACUUUGUUUCUUUACUUGCUUAUUGGAUACUUCAUAGUCCAGGUAAAGAACACCUUUAUUACAUUGUUUAAAUUUCUUAAACACUUAAAUUUACAUGUUCCUCAAGUGCCUACAACAACUGUCUGAUUUUUCAAGUGCCUAAGUUGAAAUGUCUGGUCUUAACUUUUCUUCUCUUACUCAAAUAAGUUCUUCUUUUUUCCCUUUCCACAGUGUUCCAUUGUUGUAGUUUGUUAAAGAUUGGGUGUUUUUAAGUUUGUCCUUCCACUUUAAUUAUCAAUAGUGACAAUAACUUUAUUUCUCAUUAGAUUUACAAUGAUGGAUAAAUCAUGGAUGCACAAGAGUAGAUUGUCUAAAGAUUAUGAGUUGGGUGUGGAAAACUUCAUCAAAUUUGGAUUUUCUAAUACAACUAGCUCCUAUAUCCGUUGUCCUUGUUUGAAAUGUGGGAAUUGUGAAAAACAUAGUAGAAAGGGUGUUAGAGAUCACUUGUAUGUUAAUGGUAUUGAUGAAAGUUAUACAAUUUGGUUUUGGCAUGGGGAAGAACUUCCUAACUCAUCCUAAUUUUAUGAUGAAUCUUCAAAGUUUGACAUCCAUACAUGUGAAGAUGAUGAUGUUGGAAGUGUAAAAGAAAUGAUUGAAGUUGCUCAUGAGGAAUAUUCAAAAGACCCAACUGGAUUUGAGAAGUUGCUUAUUGAUGCUGAAAAACCAUUGUAUGAAGGAUGCAAAAAGUACACAAAGUUGUCUACUCUAGUCAAAUUGUAUAAUUUAAAAGUUAGGUAUGGAUGGAGUGAUACUAGUUUUUCAGAAUUACUUGAAACUUUGAAGGAAAUUCUGCCUACUACCAAUGAGCUCCCGAAUUCAUUGUAUGAAGCAAAGAAAACAUUAGGUGCAUUAGGAAUGGAAUACGAAAAGAUUCAUGCAUGCCCGAAUAAUUGUUGUCUCUAUAGAAAAGAAUUUGCUAAUGCAAUUGAAUGUCCUGAAUGUGGUCAAUCAAGGUGGAAAAACGUCAAGGAUACAAAUGAAAGGAGAAAGCAAAUUCCCUCUAAAGUGAUAUGGUACUUUCCAAUCAUUCCACGAUUUAAAAGGCUAUUCAGAAGCAUUGAAUGUGCUGAAAACUUGACUUGGCAUUCUACUGAAAGAAUUAAUGAUGGUAAGUUACGACAUCCAGCAGACUCUCCAGCAUGGAAGUUAGUAGACAUGAAAUGGCCAGACUUCGGUUCUGAACCCAGAAAUCUUCGUUUAGCAUUGUCAGCCGAUGGAGUAAAUCCUCAUGGUGACAUGAGUUCUAAAUACAGUUGUUGGCCGGUAGUGAUGGUUAUUUACAAUCUUCCACCAUGGUUGUGUAUGAAAAGAAAGUACAUGAUGCUAUAAUGCUAAUUUCAGGACCAAAACAACCAGGGGAUGACAUAGGCAUAUACUUAGCACCACUAAUUGAAGAUUUAAAACUUUUAUGGAAAAGUGGUGUUGAAUGUUAUGAUGCUUAUCAAGAAGAACCAUUCAACUUAAGGUCAGUUUUGUUGUGGACAAUCAAUGAUUUUCCUGCAUAUGGUAACCUUAGUGGAUGUUGUGUGAAAGGGUAUAAAGCAUGCCCAAUUUGUGGAGAUAAUACAAAUUCUAUAAGGUUAAAGUAUGGGAAGAAAAUGGCAUACCUUGGACAUCGUAGAUUUUUGGCACGAAAUCAUCCGUAUCGACGACAAAAGAAGUCAUUCAAUGGUAAAAAAGAACUUGAUACAAUUCCAGAGCCACUUUCUGGGGAGGAUGUGUAUUUAAAAUUGAAAGAUCUUGAAUUUUCUAGAGGGAAGAAGAACCAUAAGAAACGAUUGAUGAACAGAAGUGACAAAAUUUGUUGGAAUAGAUUAUCUUUUUUUUGAGUUGCCAUACUGGAAGGAUCUUCAUGUUAGACAUUGUUUAGAUGUGAUGCACAUUGAAAAAAAUGUUUGCAUGAAUAUCUUAGGUACACUUCUUGAUAUUCUUGGGAAAAGUAAGGAUGGAUUGAAUGCUAGACGCGAUUUAGUUGAUCUAAAACUUCGACCAGAGCUUGCCUCUAUCAGAAGUGAAAAGAAAAUAUUCAUUCCGCCCGCGUGUUAUACUCUUACAAAGGAUGAAAAACGAUGUGUUUUGAAGACUUUGUCUGAAAUAAAGGUUCCUGAAGGUUACUCUUCCAAUAUUAGAAACCUUGUGUCAAUGACAGAUUUAAAACUUAAUAGUUUAAAAUCUCAUGAUUGUCAUGUGCUCAUACAACAGUUGUUUCCCAUUGCGAUAAGAUCAGUGCUACCGAAACAUGUUCGUUAUGCUAUAACUAGGUUGUGCGUCUUUUUCAAUUCUGUAUGCAACAAGGUAUUAGACGUACAACAACUAGACAAGUUGGAAGAAGAUAUUGUGGUAACAUUGUGUUUGUUUGAAAAGUAUUUUCCCCCUUCAUUCUUCACAAUCAUGAUUCAUCUCACAGUACACAUAGUUAGAGAAGUCAAACUUUGUGGCCCUAUAUAUCUUCGAUGGAUGUAUCCCUUUGAAAGAUUCAUGAAGGUCAUUAAAAACUCUGUGAGGAAUAGAUAUCGUCCAGAAGGUUGUAUUGCUGAAAGUUAUUUAAUAGAAGAAGCUGUUGAAUUUUGUACUGAUUUCUUAUCUGGAGUAGAUCCCAUUGGACUUGGGACUCGCAAGUCACAAGACCAUUUAGAUACUUCAAACAUUGGUAGACCAUUGUCCAUGGGAGUUCCUUUCAAACCUCAACAAGAACUUCUACAUCAAGCUCAUCAAUAUGUUUUGGAAAAUACAGUCGAUGUCCAACCAUAUACAGAGUAAGUUUUUCUUGCUUUCUUGAUUGUUUUAUUGACUUUUAUAUACUUAAUCUAACUAUAUUACAAUGUUUGAAUUGAUGACUACAAAGAAAACAUAUGAAGGCUUUGCAACUACAAUAUCGAAAUAAGUCUAGAAAUCAAAAAUGGCUUCAAGAGGAACAUAAUCGAACUUUUAUACAUUGGCUACGGGAAGAGGAAUAGUGCUGAACAUAGUAAUUUAGUUACACAUGUUAUGUGUCCAAUUUUAAAUAAGAAUUAUCAUGUUAGGUAUCAACUGAGCUUGAAGUUGGAAAUGCUGGAGUUUCAGAUAACUUAUGAUGGAUUGCAUGACCCUCAUCCUUUUGUUAUUAGAUAUAGUGGUUAUGCAAUAAAUGAAUGUCGCUAUCACAUACAAUCUUGUGAUAAAGAACGAAGUGUACAAAACAGUGGAGUUAGCUUAGUUGCAAAAACAAUGCAAGUGUCUAGUUCUAAAGAUAAAAAUCUGGUCAUCGGCGAUAUAUCAUUUUAUGGAGUCAUACAAGAGAUAUGGGAACUGAAUUAUAAUAUGUUUAACGUUCCUAUGUUUAAAUGUGAUUGGGUUCAAAACAAUGGCGGUGUUCGGAUUGAUGAACUUGGUUAUGUUUUAGUUGAUUUGAAUAGAGUAGGACACAAGUCAGACUCCUUCAUACUAGCAAGUCAAGCAAAACAAGUUUUUUAUGUUGAGGAUCCAAGCGAUGUUAGAUGACCAGUUGUGCUUACUCGAUCAGUUGUGCUUACUCCACCACAAAGAGACUUUGAAGAUAGAUAUAACAACAAUGAACUUGGUGAUACAAUACUACAGUGUGAAGGAAUACCCAAUGGUAUGCCAGAUGUUGACUUAAAUAAUGACUUGGAUGACAACAUCUUAACAUACGUACGAGCAGAUUGUGAAGGCACAUGGAUACCUACAUAAUAUUAUAAGGUUUUGUUUUACUGUUCUCAAACUAAUAGUACCAUUCGUUUAUUAUGCUCAUUCAUCUCAAUUAAUUGAUCAGUUUUUAAUUUUGUUUAAAACUUGUAUACUAUGCUAAUUGUUUCUUCAUUUUGAUUGGCAGCCUUUGAUUCAUACAUCACAUGGACAACUUUAGUGAUGAAGAAGCUGGUGUUGAUGAGUUGAAACCAACAUUUGGAAUUGAGGAUGAUGAACAUCUUGGUACUGAAAAUGAAACCCCAAAGCAGAUAUGUAGACCACGAGGACCAACUAUUAUGUUCGAUGUCACUCGCAUUAGAAGUUUGGGAGAGAAGAAGGUGGUGAUGUACAAUGAAGACGGAGUACCCAUUGGUGAGAAUGGAGCAAAGUUCAAGUCUUUCAUAGGAUCAGCGAUACAUUAUCAUGUCCCGAUCACAUAUUCAUCGUGGAAAAGUGUGCCUGUAGAGCUGAAAGAUAAAAUCUUCAGUACGGUCGAGGUAUAUAUAUAAUUUCAAUGUGCUAAUAUUGAUAAUGUUCCUGAUGUAUACUUUAUUAAUCACUUUUAAAUAUUUAGGCCGCAUUCGUCAUUGAUCCAAGAUCUAGGAAAAAUAUUAUCCAAACUGCAGGCAUUUCGUUUCGUCAGUUUAAGUGUUGGCUAACAACAAAAUAUAUUAUGCCACAUAAGGAUGAACCACAACUCCUACAAGUUCCACCAGAAAAGUAUUCAUUCAUUGAUCAACAUCAUUGGGCAGAAUUUGUAAGGUCUAGAUUGUGUGAAACUUUUCAGGUAUGUUACUUUCUCACUAACAAAUAUAUUUGUAAGGUUUAGAUUGUGUGUUACUUUCUCACUAACAAUAUUUUUGGAAAAUAGGAAAAAAGACUUCUGCAACAAGAUAGACGAUCUAAGAACAAGUAUAACCAUAGGAUUUCGAGGAAGGGUUAUGCCAAUCUUAUUCGAGGAAAUGGUAAGAACUAAUUUAUUAAGUUUAUCAAACUUUAUCGAAGGUUGUUCUAAUUUUAUUAUGGAAUUGGAAUGUAGAAAAAGGAAGGUUCAAAUCAACCGGAGUCGGAUCGAGCCAUCAUGUGGAAGAAGGCUCGAGUUAACAAAAAAGAGGAGUAUGAGAACGACGACGUUCAACAAGUUGUCCAGAAAAUUGUAAGACUUUUUGUAUAUUGAACAUUUGAACUAGAUUGGUUUUGUUUACACAUUUCUAUAACUUAGAUUGGUUUUUGUUUUAGGAUGAGAUUUCAAUGAAUAUGUCUUCAUCGUCUAAAAAAGGACACUCUUCUAACGAUGUGUUAACCCAAGCAUUGGGUACAAAAGAGCAUCACGUUCGUGUUCGUGGGGUCGGUGGGUAUGUUACUUCUACCAAUUACUUUCAUUCUGUAAAAAAGACAUCUAAACGUGAGGAUGAGAGAUAUACUUUGAGAAAUAAAGAACUUCGAAGGCGUGUAAGCGAAUUAGAAGCACAUAUCCACUCAAACUUGUCUAGACCAUUAUCUGGACAUGGUAGCUGUUCGAAGCCAAAUAUCUUAGAAGAGAGUGACUCGAUGAAAAUAAUCAAAGGGAAGAGUAAGUUGAUGGAUAAAAUCGAAGGGAAAGAGGUGGAGGAGAUCAAUAUAAAUGACGACAAAGUAGAGUUGGACAUCUUUAAGGUAUGUGAUCGAUCAUCUAAUAAACUCAAAUUCUUAAUAUUCAUAUUGUAUUGAAAGUGAAUGUUUUUGUUGAAUUAGGAGAGAGCCUUAAUAAAAAUGCCUAAGGAAAGAGAGGUUGUCUGUGAAUCGACGUCAAUUUUGCCAAUAGGAAUGAAGUUGAUUCUCAGAUACGCUGAGAAGAUAAUGGAGAAAGAUUCUAGUAUCAAUAUUCCACUACUUGUUGACAUUUUUUGUAUUAGUCGAAAGACUUCUGUUCUCCGAGAGGACAUCAUUGAUCUUUGUAACAUGAAUUAGGUCAAAACAUUUACAUUGGUGGCCUAUAUGACGUAAGUCAAUUUCAUUUCUUUAGAUCUAAAUUUAUGUAUCUCGUUUACAAGUUUAUAAUAUUUUGUAGGUACUUGUAUUCAUCUGUUCUUGGUUCGAAGGAAAAUAUACAGUAUGUCUUUGUAGAUCCAUCCCUCACCUCUGCCGCACACUCGCAAGAAUCUCGAGUUCGAAACUUAUGCAGUAGAUUGAUGGUCUCAAAGAUUAACGAGAUAGUUCUUGCUCCUUUUAAUCCUAGGUAAGUCAAGUUAUUUUAUUACUUGCAUUGCAAAAAACUAGUACUAAUAGUUUGUAUAAUUAGGGGUCGUUGGGCACUGCUGGCCAUAAAUGUGUAUGAUGAUACAGUAUUCUACCUCGACUCACUAAGGACAACAUCGAAGUCAACUAUAAGAUACGUCACCGACACGUAAGUUAAUCUAGUAUUUCAUUUAGUGUUGAUUCUUAUAUGCAUGUACAACAAUAUUUAAACUAUUUGUUCAAUCUUAUCUUGUCAAAACAGAGCAAUAGCGAUGUUUCAGUCACAAAAGAACAUUAAAAAAGUAGAAAACAAACUUUAUGGCGAACAGUAAAGGCAAGUAUCAACUUUUAAAGUCAUUAUAUUUUUGUAGACUACUAGCAAUUAGGAUUACUUUGUUAUUCAAAUUUGUUGCUUUUAUAUAGUGUCCACUACAAGUCGGGAGUACUGAGUGUGGAUACUACGUGAUGAGGUAUAUGAGAGAAAUUGUGACUAGGGGAAGCAUUGUCAUAUCCGAUGCGGUAUGUUAUAUAUCAAAUUAUUGGUUUUGUGAGUUAAUUGGUUUAUUUGUAUAGUCAGUUAAUUCAUUUAAUUUAUUUUGCAUGUUUAUAGAUUGAUACACGAAGAUCAUACUCAUAGGCAGAACUAGACGAGGUGCGAGUUGAGUUAGUUGACUUUUUGGGUUCUUACAUAUGAUUAUGAUCGGUGAUUCUGAAGUAGGAAAUUUUUUGUUGUGUCGCUUCUUUAUGAUCUGAAACUUUAUGUAUAGAAACUUUAGCCGAUAAUUCUUUUGAAUUGUUCAUAUGAAGGAAGGGGGGGGGGGGGGGGUUCAUUGUAUACUUUUGAUUAUUGUUAUAGCUAGCAUGUUUUGUGACUUUCUAAGUUGAUUUGGAUUCAUGGCAAUGUAAUGGAAUAUGAAAUCUAAUGUAAAGACUAUUUCAUUAUGUAUAUGUAAAGUCUUGGAAUUGAAUAUAUAUGGUGAAUGGUUUUAUUUAUAUAUGUAUGAGAUUUGAAACUAUAUUUGAUUAACAUCAAAUAUCUAUGAAACUGUUGCUGGACAAUUACAGGACAAUCAGGAUAUAUUUUUUUCCAUUACAGCAUAAUUCAAUUACAAUUUCUUUUUUAAAAAAAAAUUAAAAAAUGCUUGACAGUUUUAAAAUGUCAUAAACAAUUGCAUGCUUGACGGUUUUAAAAUGUCAUGAACAAUUGCAUUUUUUACGGUUUUAAAAUGUCAUCAACAUUAAAAUUCUUGACGGGUUUAAAAUGUCAUAAACCAGUUCAUUCUUGACGGCUUUAAAAUGUCAUAAACAAUACCAGUCUUGACGGUUCUAAAACGUCAUGAACAAAAGUAUAUUUGACGUUUAUAAAACGUCAACGUUCACUAUUCUUGACGUUUAAUCAACCGUCAAGAACUUUGCCUUUCUUGACGCUGGCUUCAACGACGUUUUUAAAACCGUCAAGAGAGCCGUCUCUUGACAGUUUAAAAACGUCAAGAGAGCCUGUUUUUGUAGUAGUGAUCAUAUAACUUUCAAUUUCACUAUUGUAUGUAACAAUCAUGCCAUCUAUUGUUAGUGUGAACAUAUAAAAGGUCAUCUAGUAAUCUAUCUUGAAUUUAAUAUUUUACAAAGCUUCUUAACACUUAAAUGUUGUAGGAUUAAGACUAACAUGGGUAUUUAGUAAAAUUAGUCGAUAUGUACGUAAGCUGACUUGGACACUCUUUCUACAUUCUUUUAUAAAAAGAAGAAUGAAAAAUACAACAAAUAAUUACAAAAUUAUCAUAUAAAUAUCAAAAUUUAUAUUUGUUAUAUUUUAUAAAUAUUUUAGUUCAUUUUUCUACAUUUGAAAGGUUAAUUUUCAUAAAUAUAAAAAAUAUCAAAAUAUUUAAGGUCCAUAUAACUAAAUGAAAGCCUCAUGAAAUCGGUUUUUUUUUAAAUAUGUUCUAGGUUUUUCCUUGCGGCUUUUGAAUUUCGCAUGGCUUCGAUUUCUUCUUUCUUCCUUUCCAUUUCCUUCAUAGCAACAAUCACCUUCUCUUUUUCAUCUUCAAAUCUUCUUUUAUAUUGUUUUGAAAUCACGAUCAUUGUUCUACAAUUAUUAUUAUUAUUUUUAUUAUAUUUAUAGUAUUAUUACCUUUGUUUUCAAUCAAAUGAAUCAAUCAUUAAUCUUAUGUUACUUUUUUCAAUGUGUUCUAGAUAGAGAUGAACUACAUGAUCGUUUACCAUAUAGUUUUUCAAAAUCAUCAUUUAUCAUGAACUAUAGGAUCGUAAAUCACAUGAACUACACGAUCGUGUAUUAGGAACUACACAUGAUCGUGUAUAAUCUACACGAUCGUUUACUAAGGCUUUUUCAAAACUAUAGUUUAUCAUGAGCUAUGCGAUCGUGUAUCAUUUUCUACAUCAUCGCGUAUAUCAUUUCCUACACAAUCGCUAUGAUGAUCGUUUCAAAGAAGAAUUACACGGGAGCUAAUGGUCGAUUAAUCAUAUGUUGAUUGGGACAUUUUUUGUAGUUUCCAUUUUGAGUUUGUUGGCUUUUUUCGUUUUCAAAGUUGUUCUAUAUAUAUAAAUAUUUUGCUAGUUUGUUGUAUUUUUUUUUCAAAAAAGCCUAUUUGAAAAUUUCCCGAAUGUUUAUUUGUUAUAAAUUUUUUAGAGAUAACUGUGAAAAUGACACAAUAAUAGAAUAUAAUUUGAAAAAUAGCAAAUUCUAAAAAUAAUUUGAUUUUUAGCAAAAUCGCAUGAGGUAGAUAUUUUUUUUUUUACAAUUUUUCAACCGAUUUUAUAAUAAUUUUAUUUGUUAUAAAUCGCUUGAUAGUUUGAAACUCAUUUUUUCCAGUUACAGUAUAUUUGUGCAGCGUAAAAUAAUGAAAUAUAACAUAGAAUUACGAUUACGGUGUGUUUGCAUAUCAUUCAAUUUUAUAAUAAUAUUAAAUAGAUAUUUAUGUUUCGGAUUGAUCUCAUUUAACCAUUAUAUGCUAGAUUCAUGUCUUCAAUUUAUAACAGAUUAUCAGAUUUGUACACUUCAAAUCAAAUGCUUAAUAAAUUAUUUUUAAUAAUAUCUAUUUAUUUCACACUAUUUAAUUCACACCAUAAAAUCAAAUCAUUGAUAAUAUUAUAGAAUAACAUGUUAUUUAUCUUAUAAAUACAUAAAUUUUCAUAUAAUGAUUCAUUAUAUAAUUUAUUCAUUGUAGGUUUCUUAAGGUUUGGUUACUUCUUACAAAUUCACAAUUUUUCACAUUUAUCCUUAAUUGUUUUCAGAUUAUAUAUAUUGCAAUAAAUAUUUAUUUUAUCAUUUGAUUUUAAAAGUUUAGUUGGAAGAUCUCCAAAAUUUGAAUUUAAAAUUAUAACGUUCCCUAAAUUUAUGCAUUUGAUAUAAUAACAACUUCAUAUUAAGAGUGCAUUCUCCCUAUAAAUAUGAAUGUAACAAAUAUUUCAUAAACAGAUUGACCAUAUUAAUAAUAAUGAAUUAACAUUAUUUAACGGAAUAAAUGUCAAUAUAACCAUAUGUAUGGAUGAUAAAAUUUUCAUUAAACUAAUGAUAUAGGGGGAGUAAAAUUCUUCUAUGGAACUAUCGUUAAAUAAGAUAUAUUUUCCAUAGAUAUUAUUUACUAUUAUUUAAAAGUUUGAUUUAAAACUACCAAAACAGUAAAAAAUAUUAUUCAAAUGUCAAUAUUCCAAAAAAUCCGUGAGAAAAAUAUGAUUUUUAUCUAAAAUUAUUUAAUCGUACCAUCUAUCCUACGUACAUAGUUUUUUAAUCAGACUUUUAUUUUGAGGUAAACAGUAUUCGAAUGAAUUUAAUUUCAGUUCGGUGAAUAAUUUCACAUUUAUCGUACACAUGUUUUGGAAUUCUUUCACGACAGCUGUCGACUUUAUUGUUCCUCUGUAUUUAAAUUCGUUUAUACUUAUCCUCUACCAUUUCUUCUAAUGGAAAUGCAAUGUGUGAAGACUCUUUUUUAUGGUAGAUGGAUGAAAUUUUCCCUAUAUAUUGACUAUCAUGUGGUAGAUGUAUUCGUUUCAUGCUCAUUUUCAUUUCAAGUAUUCUUAAAAUGCAUUCAAGAUAGACUUUUUUCAUCUUUAGAUCUUUCUAUGUGUCAUAUUACUCUUUAUUGGGAUGGAUGCAUAGUUCAAACCUGAUUUGGAUUGUUGAAGACAAAGGCGUUUAUUGACUUAUGUUGAUUAUGUUGAAAUUCCCUAACAAUGCUUUUGUUGUGGUUGUUGAUUAUGCACUUGCUGGGUCGGUAAAAAUUACACUGUGUUUGAACAAUGAACUAAAUACACAACAACCUACACACAAUGAAUCAAUUUUUUUUAUCCGUUUAUACCAUUUAUGUAGGAUAAUACGUGUUUUAUAGAUAUAGUGUAUUCACAUGUAAUAAUGAGAUCAAAUAUCACAUAUAGUGUAUUUGCAAACUACAGUCAAUUUUGGAAAAUAUUAACUAUAUUUUCGGGACUAACAAGAUUUUUUCAAUAUCCCCUAAAUAUAUGCCUAUAAUUCACAAUAAAUUUUUGGAUUUAUAGUAUUUAAAUCAAAUUAAUUAACAUUUAUUUAUUUAAUUCAUAAAAGAUGUUUAAUAAUGAUUUUCCUAAAAAAUUGCUAAAAGAUUUUCAACCGUUACUUAUUCAUUAGAUUUAAUAAUAUUUUGAAUUCAAAUAUUAUGAAAUCUAAUUUAUGAAAGAAUGACAAUCACUAAUUUAAUAUUUUUCGUAUGAUUUAUAUUUCAAAUUAUUUUAAAAAAAUUAUUAGAUAAUAAAAAUAGUACGUAUAGUUGAUAUAAAAAAUGGUUAUGAGAAUUUCAACUAUUUCCGAGUCAUUAUAUUACAUCCCUACAAUCGUGCUAAUUAUGAUUAUACACUUAUUUUGGUUGAUUUUUAUUAAAAAAAUUAAUUUAUUGUGCAUCUUAUAUCGGAUAAUUAUUUUUUCACCUUGUGUUUUUUAAUUACGUUAAUAUUCAUAGUUAUUCGUGUUUAUAUCUUUUUAUGUACGAUAAUACGUGUUUUACAGAUACGGUAUAUUUGCAUGAUACAAACAAUGAGACAAAAUAUCAUACAGUCACAGAUACAGUCUAUUUGCAAACUGCAAUCAAUUUUGAAAAAUAUUAACUAAUUUAUGAUAUUUUUGGGAUUGGCAAGAUUUUCCCAAUAUCUCUUACCUAUAAUUUGUAACAAAAUUUCAGAUUUUUAGUAUUUAAAUAAAAUUAAUUAACAUUUAUUUAUUUAAUUCAUAAGACGUAUGUUUAAUAAAUAUUUUAGGGAAUUAAUUAAUAUUUAUUUAUUUAUUUUAUAUUUAAUAAAUAUUUUCCCUAAAAAAUUGGGGACUUUCAACCAUUCCUCAAUCUAAUCCCUAAAAUAAUGAAAAUCACUAAUUUGAAUUUAAAUUUUUUGUAUUUUAAACUAUUUAUUAUAUUUUAUUAUAUACAAUAUUUUAAAAUUUGUUAUAUUUUAAACAAUUUAUUAAAUAAUACAUAAUAUAUAUUUUUAAUAAAAAUUUGAAUUUAAAUUUGAAUAUAUUUUUAAUAACAAUUUGAAUUUGAAUUUGAAUAUAUUUUUAAUAACAAUUUGAAUUUGAAUUUUAUAUAUUUUUAAUAAUAAUUUGAAUUUAAAUUUUAUAAUUUAAUUAUGUCUCAAUGACAUUUUUGCAAUUAUUUGAAUCUUCAUCUUUCAGGUUUUAUUGGAGAAAAGAAAAGAAGAAAUUGAGAGAGGGAGCAGCCGACCAAAGACAAACACAAUAUGAGAGACAAAUUUUUUCUUACAAACAAGAGAGAAGAAGAGCUCAAAUGAAUCUCGAACUUGAAGAACUCACCAAUUUGAGUGGAAGAGCUCAAAUGAAUCUCGAAUGUAUGAAGAACUAGAAGAACUCACCAAUUUGAGUGGACGAACUCACCGAUGCGUAUCUUGCUAAGAUGUAUAUAAAUUUUGAAUUAUAUAAUAUUAACAAUGCUCCCAUUUUGAAUUCUUUGAUGAUGAAUUGAUGGUUUCAAAUAGUUUCCAAACUUUCUUUAGGGUUUUGAAUGAAAGAAGGAAGUAAGUGGUCGAAAUCCAAGAAAAAAAAUGAUCACUUGUAGUUUCUAAAUUUUGAGCUUUCCAUCAACUUUCCUAAUCUCUAUGUUUUUUUAUGAAAAUUUUUAUGUAGCAUAUAUGUUAUUUCAAUUACAAUGUAUUCAAGGUUAUGUGAACAAUUGUAUUUUACACUUACAAUGCAUUUGUGGAUUGUUUCCUAUAUUUAUUUUUCUAAUUUUUAUGUUUUGUUAUUUUAACAAUUAAAAUGUUGUUUUUUGUUAUUUUUCCAAAGUAAAAGUCAUAAUUUGCUAUUCUUUUUGACACCUCAAUUUUUAAAAUGAUUUUAUCUGUUUUAUAAGUAUAAUUUUUGGGCAAUUUUAAAUAUAGCAAAAUGGAUAAUUUUUUUUUUAUAAAAUACAGGUGAUCGAAGUCUAUCAACGUGUACGUGUAUCCGUGUCUAUAAUUUAUAAAUAUUUUAUCAAUUUGGCAUAUACAAUAGUUUCUCUAUAUCUUUUGUUACAAUAAAAAAAAAGGACUCAAAUGUAGAUUUAUAUGUUCUCCUAUCAAUAUUCUAUCCUGGACCCAUCUCUUUUAUUAACCUUUUACUAUAUUAUUAAAAUAUUCUGUAAAGUUUUUAUUUUCAUUACUUCUUGCUUUAGUGAUAAUGAAGAAAUAAAUUUGGUUUACUAAAUUACGAUUUUUCUUGAAAAGUAUGAUUUGAUGCCAAAAUCUAGACAGAUAAGACGCGUGAUAUACGUAUGUGCUUAACGGUGAAUUUUUAUUUGGGUCAAAACAAGAGACCUCAAAAACAAGGAAUCUUAACACGACGUGACAUUUGGUAAAGUGAUAAGAUUUUAACGUUAGAGUAACAGUUUGAACAUAUUUAUGACAUAAUCCAUCUCCAUGCAACCCCUUCCCUUCCCUCAUUUUUUGUUUUGCCCUUCAAUCUCAACUCAUUUCAUCCUCCUGCUCUUUACUUAACUUUGGCAAAACCUUAUAUUAAGUCCCAAAUCCUAUAUCUACAACACUCUCAUCAAUAUUAUUUCUUUCAAUUGUUGUAAUAAUACUCUAAGUUGGUCUUUCAUACAUACUUUAAAACUAUUCUUAAAUUUUGAUUUUUUUGAAAUUUUCAUUCUACUUGAUCUAGUUUUCAUUUUUAGAAAGCUUGUAAUGUAUCGAAAGUUUUGAAAUGUUUCACGAUAAUUUGAACUUUUUUGAAAAUAUUUAAAUAUAUUUUUAAACAAAAAAAGGCAAAGUAUUUCAUUGUUACUUUUCAAAGUUAGCUUUUCCUGUUUAAAAGGCCAAUCAACUUAGCUGUAUUAAUCCAUCAGCCUCUUAGAUUUUAGAUUUUGAAAAUAAAGACUAUUUACCCCCACAUUCAAAAUGUACAAAUAAAAAUAGGGAAUCGAGCAAAAUAAAAGGAGCCUAAUACAUUGGUUUCAAACUGUCCAAUUUACAACAUUUUUAACUUAGGUGUGCUAAUUUCAAUUUCGUUUUAUUCGGGUUAAUCUUCAUAAAUAUAACAAAAUAUCAAAAUAUUUACGGUUUGUGUAACAAAAUAAAAUAGUCCACGAAGCCGGUAGAAAUUUUUCAUAAUUUCUAGAUUUGCUCUUGAGCAAACGAUUCAUCAUCACUUCUCUUCAUUAUUCUUCUUUGUGAUUUAUUCAUCUCUCUUUCAUAUUUUUGAGCUCCUCUUCAUCUCUCUUCCAUAUUUUUGAGCUCCUCUUCAAGAUUUUCUUUCUUCUACUUUUAUUCAUCUUCUUUUGCUUUCCAUUGUGGCAUUUUUGGUAUUUGUCAUUGUAGGUCCGUGGACUUUUUCCUUUUUCAAAAUUGUUCUAUACUAUGUAAAUAUUUUACCGUUUGUUAUAUUUUUUAAAAAUUCCUAGUUGAAAAUGACCUAAACGGUUUAUUUGUUAUAGUUUUUUUUAAAAUGAUUUCAUUUGUUUUAUAAAUAUAUUUGUGGGGCAAUUUUCAAUACAAUAAAAUGUACCACAUAAAGUUCAAAUUUUGAUUUUAAAUUCUCCAAUAUAGAACAUCUUUGAAUUAGGUGUGAAAACUCAAAUUUAGUUUCAUUCAUGUACUUUCUAGUUUGAAAUUGGAAAAACAGUGUGUGUGAUACUAAAGUUUCGAGGAUGAGUGUUCUUGAAAUGGAGUUUAAGAGAAUUUUGGUCAUUUCCAACAUUUUCACAUAGUACUGGUAUAAUAAUAAUAAUAUAAAUGAAGAAGAAAUUAUGAUUGUUUUGCUUGCCAAAAGUAUUAUUGAUGGUAAGGCAUUGCAAUCUAACGACAAUUGUAGAAUCCAAAUGCACUCAAAUUCUUAUUUCAUUUACUGUCUCAUUUAUUCAAUUUUCAUCGGCUUCUAAACUUUUACAUCUAUGCAUCACAUUUUGCAACAUGCCAGCUUGCAACUGUACAUCUAAUCUAGUGCAAACAUGAAAAUACAAAGCACAAAAGUAAUGUUUGUACUAAGGUUUAGAAGGACAAUUAGUUUAGGCAACAACAAAAUAACCCUCAAACUUAGUUCUUUGUACUUCUUACUAUCAUUAUAUUAUAUUACAUUAUGAAGAAGUGUUGGGUUUUACUUUUGUUCUUUAUAUUUGUAAACCUCACUUUUAAUAAUGGUUUCCCUACGCCUCUUCUUCACAACAACAACAAACUUCAACCUCCUUUUGUUGUUGGUACUGUCUUCUGUGAUACUUGCUUCCAACAUCUUUCCAAUUCUCACCAUUUCAUAUCAAGUUCUUUUUUUUCUUCAUAUUUCAACUACUUUUCAUCCAUUUUACACUUCUACAAAAAAUCAUUUUCUUAUAUCAUACAAUAUUGAAUUAAUGGAUGGUUCAAAAUGUUAUCAAGAUAAGAACCCUAAACCUCACCACAAAAACUUAACAUAUUAACAUUAUCAUUGUGAUAGACUUUGACAUCUUCAAAUUUAUCAAUAUAAAAUAUGCUUUAACAAAAUGUACCUUGAAGUCCUUCCAACCGUAUUAAAAAAAACAUAUAAGCCUAACACUUUAACAAAUAUCUAGUGCAUAUUAUGCAUCUCAAUUGAUCACAACAAAAUAAGAUUGAACAUAAAUACCCAUAAGUAAUACCUUUUCAAUGUUGAAUUUUCAUAAAAAUUCAACAAGCAAGGCCACUAUCUCGAGGAUUCUUCAAGCCCUAAGUAUGAAAAAAUGUUCAAUGAUUAAAUCGUAUUCCACUUACAUGACAAUUUGACAAAGCUCAGUUGAUAACUCUCAUAAAGCCCUUAAUCCCCCCCCCCCCCCCCCUAACUUUCAACACUAUUGUUGUGGCCAUGUGGACGAUUAUCUGGUUGGAAAGGAACAACAAGAUCUUUCAGAGUAAGGAAAGAACUACUAUGGAGAUUUUGGAUGAUAUUAAUUCAAGCAAAUGUUGAUAUACUACUAAUAUACCAUACCAAUUAGACAAACACUUUUAAUGAGACUAGAAUUAUACAAAAUAUACUUCAAACCACAAUAAUUGAAUAUGUAUUUUGGUAGGGAGGUAGAAACUACUUACUCUGAACAAAUAACGACAACGUCCUUGAAGUAAGAGAACUUUCGACUAAUCCUCAAUUCAAUCAAUUAUUCAAAAUGCCAUAAGGUAGUCAUAGGAAGAUAAUAUAGUUUCAUACAGUUAAAGGACUAAUUUUUCAACAACAACCACACUUCUUAAUUGAUAACUAUCGAAAUAAGCUCAACUAGCUAAUCACAGAAUAGAAAGGUUAGCUUGAGACACAUAGCAGCCUAGAGGGAGAGGUAAAGGAAGAGUUGAGUCUAAAUCCCACACUAAGAAAGGAAAUUCACCUUCUAACUUUCUCUGCCAAUUGAAAUGAACUAAACAUCUUAAAAGUGAAAAAACAAGAAAAAAAUUAUAUUCUUGAAAUAGAAACUCAAAUUCUCUUUUUCUUAUUCCAUUCCUAGACAUUGAAGUACCAUGAAUAAGAAAUGAGAAUCGUUUUAUAUUUAUUCAAGACAUCAAAUUUUGGUCUCCACAGUAAAACUAUAAUAAGCAACUAAAAUAGAUCACCAAAACAAUUUAGAAGAACAUGUAGAAGAACAUUACUGUGAUAUGAUUUUUGCGAGCCAUUUUAAUUCACCACCAUUUUUUUGUCUUUCCUUUCAAUAUAGAAGAACAUGUUGUAAUUUUUGUUGCUACUAUCCUUAUUGUAAGAAAGGAAGAGAACAUACCUAUAAUUAUCAAUAAUCACUUUCCUAUAUCCUUCAAUCAAAGCGAGACAUAAUUUCAAUCCAAAUAAAAUAAAAGAAUUUUAUGUUACAAAAGAAACUGUAAUGCUUCCAAGACUGCAUGAUCAUAAUAUAGACAAAAAGAAAAAGAGAGUGAAGGUUAGACUUCUUUUUCAAAGAUAAUAAAAAUGGAAAAUAGAAUUCAAUGAUACAUUUAGGUUUAAUAGCAAAUGCUUUACCUCAUAAAUAUCAUACUUCUUUCUGCUUAAGAGGAGUAGGACCAUUAUUGCAUACUGACUUCCAACACCAACAAAAAGAAAUAGAAUUCACAACUAUAACAAAGCCAAAACAAUUGCUAAAAUUGAUGGUUUAUCAGAGCUUCCUAUAAAUCAAGAUAAGUUUAUUAGCAACAUAAAGAGUUUAUUUCUUGUUCAUAGUGAAAACGUUCAUAACUUUUUUUAAUCUUCAAUCAUUAGUAAAUCAAGAGUAACCAAAUUACAACAAUUUAGUAAUGAGUUAGAUAACAAGUACUUGUGUUAAAGUUUAUUUAUAUAGUUUAUUUAUGUUAUAACUAUCAUGCAAUUACGAUAUAACUCAAUAGCAACCAUAAACAAAAGAUCAAUAGAAAAAUCAAAAGUACUCAAAUUUACUUGAGAAAUACAUAGACAAACAAAAAGACCCUACAUGUCAUCAAAGUUUAAAAUCUCACAUUUCAUUUUUCAGUUUCUUUUUCUCAAAGCUUCAGCCCAUAGCCAUGAAAUCUCCCUUGGCCUUGAUUUCCUAAUUCGAAUGAACAAAAAUCAAUUAAAAAUCAACCAAAUGCUUCAUUGAGGCAUUUCAUCAAACAUAUUGUAAGCUACCAAAAUGCUUAAUCACAUAGCCAAACAUAAACAAAAAAAUAUAGAUUCACAUUAGAAAAUUGAUCGUAAACAACAAUAUUGAAUAUGAUGGUCGACAAAACAAACACAUAUCUUCUAUAAAAGCAAAACUAUGAGGGAUGUUUUUCAUAAAAAGAACCAUCAAGAUAUCACAUUGUAGGUAAAAUGAAAACAUUUGAAGUUAAUAUACUGUACAAAUAUAAACAAUAGAAAUAAUGAAACUUUGAUUGAAUACCUUCAUAUUGUGGAUAAAAUGUAAGCAUUUGAAGAGAAAUGAAAAGAAAAUGGGAGUGAAAAGGAAAACUCUAGAAGUUGAAUAUGAAUGAAGAAUGGAGACAGACCACGAUGGGCUUGAUCUCCAGCGAGCUACUACACGUGGUGGUUGAGCUUCACCGAUGAGUUCAGCGGUGCAAGGGGUGUUGGCUAAAGGAGAUAAAGAGGGGGAUUUUGGACGAGUCGUUGACAAAAAGUUGCGUUGUUCCCGACGUGCGUGAGAGAGGAAGAGAGAUGGCUAGCGAAAGGGAGGAAAAAUCAAGAAGGAAGGGUGAUGUGUGGAUCUUCCACAAAGACGAAGAAAAAAAGAAGAAGAAGAAGAAAAAGAGGAGGAGGAGGAGGUAGAGAAAGGGUUUUGGAGAUAUUUUAUAAGUUUUAUUUUAAUAAAUAAAUUAUUUAAUGUUCUUAGAAUUAGGAAAAAAUCUGAUUUAAAAUGAAUUUUAUGUUAAUAAAUUAUUUUUUGAAUCUUUUAUGACACCAAAUAACUGUCACGGAAAGUAAAAUCCAAAAAAUUAUGUUUUUUCCGUCAAAAACGCGAAUUUUUAGCUUUUGUCACAGUGUUUUCUUUCCUCCUUUCAAUUUGGGAUGUAUACAACUGUCAUAGUAGGUAUUUUUUUCUUGUAGUGUAUUGACCAUCAAUGAUUUUUCUGCAUAUGGUGACUGAUAGGAUGGAGUACAAAAGAAUGUCAAAGCGGUCCAUUUACAUAUAUAUUAUUGAAUAUGUAGAUGCAUUUUGAAUUUGACCCCACUAACAUGGUCGUAAGAAAAUACAAGGAAGAAAAGAUUCAAAAUACUUUUAGAGAAUUUAGAGCAGGGUUGCACAAAGAUUACUGUGGAUUUGAUUAUCCUAUUGAAGCUCGUGCCAAUCGACCAGACAAGAUAACGCACGAGGAUUAGGACAUAAUGUGUGAUAGAUGGGAAAUAUAUGCAAACUAUCAACCCAAAAAGUUGUGAAUCGUUAGGUAGUAAUGUGUCAUCUACACGUGAGAAAGAGAAGAAUGAGAUGACAUACCUUAAAGAAGACAAUGAAAAUUUAACCAAUAAACUUGCAAAAUGGAAACAAAGAUGGGUUGACAUAAAAAAAAAAGUUGGAUCUAGGAGAGGAAGAGAAAAAUGAUGCACCUUAAAAAAUUUAAGUAUUUUUCUAAACUAAAAUUAAAAAAAUUAUAUUGUUAAAGCAUGUUUCAAUAUUAUGUUUGUCUAUCCUCCAGUUACAGUAGCCAAUCAUGCAUAUAAUGUCAUUUCAUAAUUAGGUUUUUGGAUGGUUUCUAGAAGUAUCACUUAGGCAUUUAGACACUUAGGCUAUUUGCAUCUUGUUUUAAGCUUAUCGUUUUGAUUAAAAACUAUGACAUUUUUAGGUCUCUAGAUGCUUUGAAAAAUACAUGACAUUUUAAAGUAUAUCACAUUUUUUUAGCUUUUUGGAUGGUUUGUAGACUUAGACACUUUUUAGAUUUAUUGUGGUUGAUUUUGUGUUUCAUAAUCACACUUAGGCAUUUGAAACUUGUUUUGUAGGUCGACUUUGAGAGUUAAUACAUUUUUUAGCACAUUUGUAGUUAGUCUUUAGUUUUAAAGUCGCACCUGGGGUAUGUAAGUGUUGCUUUAAGAGUUAAAAUGUCACCUAAAUACCUUCUAAAACAAGUAUGUUAAGAUUUAGCAUGUUCUUAUUCAUUUUAAUGUACCUUUUUCAGGUUUAUGUAGUUUGAAGGAGCAUAAAAUGACUAUUUUUUUAAGACUUUCGGAUUGAGUUAACCAUUUUGUUUUGUAUUUAAUAUUUUUUUAUUCAUUUUAGAAUGACUAUUUUUUGUUCAUUUUGGUAUGCCAAAAUAAAAUUUAAUAUAUCUCAUAUAUGUACUUUGAUAAACUGAAGAGCUAUGGGUUCUCAUAUUUUGACAAAUUAUUAAAUUAUUGUUUGUCAUAUGUUGGACAAAAAUAUUAAUAGUUAGAAAUAUUUUUCUUCUUAAAUUUUUUGUUGUAAUAUUCGAUAUAUUUUGUUAUAGACAGGAUACAUACUAUGUUUGACAAUUAAUUUAGAAGCAUACAAUAUUAAUAAUAGAUGUGAAAAAAAAAUGAUAUUAAUAAUAGAUGUGAAAAAAAAUUAAAUCAUUUUUACCACACUUUUGUGUGGCUAGAACUAUGUUGCAGUUAGAGAGCUAUAACGUCGUUCUUUGCUUAGGCAAAAAAGAAAUAAAUAUUAUUUAUUGACGCAUCAUUGGUAGCCAAAAAUGUUCUUUUAGCCGACAAAAAUCUUUUCGCGGGUAGAAACAAUUUAUGCCCAUGAAACAAACAUGCUAGAAAGUUUAAUUUUGUCGAUGUGAUGAUAAUCGUGGGUAAAAAUACCUUUUUGCCGAUGUUUUUUUUUUUUUGUGGCCAGAAAAUCUAUUUUUGUCGACGUGAUGAUGGUCGUGGACAAAAGUACAUUUAUGCUUACGUUUUUUUUGUGGCAAAAAAAUCUAUGUUUGCCGACGUGAUGAUGAUUAGGGGCAAAAAUACCUUUUUGCUGUCAUUUUUUUUGUGGCUAGAAAUUUCUUUUAUGCUCACAAUUUUAUUUGGCGUGGGCAAUUUUGCUAAUGCAACGUCAACGAUGUGUGUAAAGGAAAAGAAGAUAGUGCUUCCGCUAUAAACCAUGUCAACACAAAAAAAAAUGUUGGCAAAAACACUGUCCACAUUUUUCUUAAGAAAUACCCACAUUUUUAUGCAUCGACAAAGAUGAAAAUUCUUGUAGUGGGAAUGUAUAAUUGAUAUGUUCUCAUCAUCUAUAAAAAAUACAAGCUCUCUUUAUGAAUAGAAGAAAUUAGUACUUUCACUCAUCUUGUAAGCUCUGACUUCUUUUAUUCUCCAAGAGGUGUAUUACAUUCCAAAUUAUGUAGUAACAUCAUAAGCCUCAGACAAAUGACAGAAAACGGAAACAAAGUGCAAAUGAUAGAAGAUAUCAUGAAAGUGUCUGAUAGGAGUGGAAAGCUUUUGAUGUCGGUGAAGCGAACUCAAAAUCGUUUGUACAAGAUAACUUUGAAGACACUCAAGGAAUUCUGCCUUCUGACAAGCCUAGAAGAUCCAACAUGGUUAUGGCACGUGAGACUUGGCCAUGUAAAUUUUCAUGACUUGAAGCUCAUGGGGGAGAAGAAAUUUGUAGUUGGAGUACCACUAGUGACUCAACCGAACAAGUUAUGUGAAGCAUGCGUGAUUACCAAACAAGCCAUAUUACCUUUCCCCCGUCAAUCAACAUAUAGAGCAGAGAAGCCAUUAGAACUCCUCCAUGGUGAUAUAUGCGGAUCAAUUUCACCAUGUACUCUUGCUGGAAACAAGUAUUUUCUGUUGAUCGUUGACGAUUCCACGAGAUGGAUGUGGCUGUAUAUGUUGGAGGCAAAAAGCAACGCAUUUGAAGCAUUCAAGAAAUUCAAACUCUUAAUGGAGAACAAGACAGAGUACAAGAUCAAAACACUCCGGACGGAUCGAGGUGGUGAGUUCUUAUCUGCAGAGUUCACUCAAUUUUGCCAAAAAAGAGGAAUCGAAUGACACCUCACCGCUCCAUAUUCACCACAACAAAAUGGCAUUGUAGAGCGUCAUAACUGCACCGUAAUGGCGAUGAUGAGAUCACUCCUCAAAAGCAUGCAUGUGCCUGCAAAAUUUUGGGGAGAGGUAGUGAGACACGUGGUUUAUUUGUUAAACCGUCUUCCAAAGAAGGCCCUUGGAGAACGCACAACAUUUGAAGCUUGGAUGGGGAGAAAACCACAUCUUGCACACUUGAGAGUCUUUGGUUGUGUGACAUAUGUAAAGAACACAACCCCUCACCUCAAGAAACUUGACGAUCGAAGCUCACCAAUGGUAUAUUUUGGUGUCGAAGAAGGAUGCUAAGCCCAUCGCUUAUAUGACCCAGGCCGUGGAAAACUACAAAUUAGUAGAGAUGUUCUUUUUCAAGAGAAUCUUGAAUGGCUUGGAACGAAGUUGUUAGUGACGGUAAGGAGAUGACAGAGUUUCAGGUGAUGGACCAAUUUUAUUCUGACGAGUUCGAAAACUUGGAGUAUGCAGAAACCGGGGUUGAAAAUGCCUUACCACAUGCAACUGAGAUACCUGCGAUUGGAGAGACCAGUCCAUCUCCUCCAUCGACGAACACACCGAUCCGUCUAAGAUCUCUUAGUGACAUCUACGCCAACACAGAGGAAGUUGUAGGUGGUGAUGAACAAGAGAAUGAGGUGAUGAUGGUAGUGUCCGAAGAACCGACUUGUUACCAAGAAGCUGUUACAGAGGGUCGCUGGUACGAAGCAAUGGAGAACGAAUUAAAAUCCAUUGAGAAAAACAACACAUGGAGUCUGACCGAGCUUCCACUAGGACACAAACCCAUUGGUCUAAAAUGGGUGUUCAAAUUGAAGAAAGACCCUAAUGGAGAAGUUGUCAAGCACAAAGCAAGAUUGGUUGCUAAAGGCUAUGUACAAAGACAAGGCAUUGACUUUGAAGAAGUUUUUGCACCGGUUGCAAGACUUGACACCAUUCGAGUCAUUCUUGCACUCGCUGCAAACCAAAGUUGGGAGGUACACCAUCUAGAUGUGAAGUCGGCAUUUCUCAAUGGAGAAUUGGAAGAGGAAGUAUAUGUUACUCAACCGGAGGGUUUUGAGGUUUCAAAUGAAAAACACAAGGUGUAUAGAUUGUCAAAGGCUCUCUACGGAUUGAGGCAAACUCCACGAGCUUGGAACAUUCAACUUGAUAGGAGUCUCAAAGAUCUUGGUUUUAGAAAAUGCAUUCCAGAGCAAGCAGUCUACACAAGAAGAGAAGAAGAGGAAUGUGUUCUUGUUGGAGUGUAUGUUGACGAUCUCAUGGUAACAGGAAGUAGCACUGAAAAGAUCAAUAAGUUCAAGCAACAAAUGAUGGCAAAAUUUGAAAUAAGCGACUUAGGCCUUCUCUCUUACUACAUAGGAAUUGAAGUUGAACAACAGAAGAGUCGAAUCCUGCUCAAACAACCAACUUAUGCCAAAAGAAUUUUGUCCCAGUUUGGAAUGGCUGAUUGCAAUGCCACAAAGUACCCGAUGGAACCCAAGGCACAACUUCACAAAGACACGGAAGGAGCACCAAUUGAUGCUACGGAGUACAGAAGCAUCGUUGGUUGUCUUAGAUACUUACUGAACACAAGGCCAGAUCUUUCAUAUGUUGUUGGGAUGGCGAGUAGGUAUAUGGAAAGGCCUACAACCAUGCAUUACAAGGUGGUCAAGCAAAUACUUAGGUAUUUGAGAGGGACGAUUCAUUUUGGGCUCACUUAUACGAAAGGUCCCAGAGAAUUCAAUAUAUUCGGUUACUCUGACAGUGAUUUAACCGGUGAUCUCGACGGGAGGAAAAGCACAAGUGGAAUGACAUUCUACUUAAAUGAAAGCUUGGUUUCAUGGAAUUCGCAAAAGCAAAAGACGGUGACACUCUCAUUUUGCGAAGCCGAGUUCAUUGCAGCCACCUCCGCAACUUGCUAAGCAUUGUGGUUAAGAUGCCUUGUUAGCGAGAUAGUCGGAAUGGAGCCAAGGCCGGUAACAUUAUUUGUGGACAGCAAAUCCGUGAUAGCUCUCAUGAAGAAUCCUGUAUUUCAUGGUCGCAGCAAGCACAUAGAUACACGUUUUCAUUUCAUUCGAGAGUGUCUCGAGAAUGGACAAAUUAUCGUUGAAUUUGUCAACACUGGAGAACAACGAGCCGAUGUUCUGACUAAAGCAUUGACGGGAGUAAAGUUAGCUACUAUGCGUCAACUACUUGGUGUUCGUAACUUAGAAUCAUGUCAGAAUUAGGGGGGUAGUGUGGGCUAUUAAUUUGCCGAAUUAAGUUAUUUUUCUAUUUAUUGUUUUUGGUUAUUUGUUUUUUUAAUUAUGUCCAAAGUUUUAGCAAGCACUAAGUUAGUGGGUUACUAAUUUUUGCUUCUUUUUAGACUAUAAAUAUUAGUCCAUCAAAUUGAAUAAAGGUAAGAUGUUCCAUUUAAUUUUCUCUCCCUCUUGGCAAUAUAUCUUACAAAGUAUUUAUCUUUGCUUUCUUCAAUAAGAGUGCGUGAGAUUUUACAGAUCCUUUGUUGUAAAACCAACAAUAGCAACACACAACAAUUGGUAACCAUGUUUGGGGAUACAACACCCACGUCUUAAGGGUGGUGUGCACAAGAAAAAUAAUCCAUUAAUAUAAUAGAGUUAAGCAAGUACAAUGUUCUACUUAUUUGUACUCAAAGAUUACUUUGACAACCGUAAAGUUAACUCAAUGAACUUCUAGACUCUCCCUUAAGUAAGAGACUUCCUCUCUUUUGAAUAUAGGCUCUCCAUCAAGUAUAUUGCUAUUAGUGGUGAAUGACUUAGACUCCCUUAGUUGUGGGAGACUCCUCCCACUCGAAGUUAUCUUUCCUCUUUCUCCCAUGAACUCCAUUCACUAGUGUAACUUUGAGUGAAACUCCAUUCACUAGUGUAACUUAAAGGCUCCCCUAUGUUAAUGAGAGCAUCUUUCUUAGUUGAGUCGAUUUUAGGCUCCCCUGAAAGAGUACAGUAUGAUUGGAUUCAACCUAUUCUUUAGCAAACCACUCACAAGUACAGUAGUAAAAGAACACAGACGAACGACUGCUUCGAACUCAAACUUUUGUCUAAAAGGUCAGAGGAUAUAACAAGUCAAAAUAUAUGCUGCCACUGUAGCAACAAAUGCAACAAGAGAUAUUAAAUAGCAAAGGGGUGCAAGGAACCAAUUUACAGAAUAAAACAACGCAACUCUAAAAAAGGUAAAUAUGACACCAAAAUCAAAUCGAAAAAUAAUAUAAAUAGGAAAAGAAAUGUCUUGCAAAUUUUACAACUUUCACGUAAACUGCUGAGACAAAAAAUAUUUUGAGACGUAUUUUGGAACCACCAAGAAAAUAGAUCGUCAACAUGGUGGGAACUUAAUCAAAUAUAUUUAGCCAAUUCUUAAGGCAGUAACAGAUAUAUAUAUAAUUAACAUAGUAUCAACACCAUUAGUUAACUCAGUGUUACACAUCUUUUUUUUAGCCACCUUUAGACUUAAAUUCAAACCUCAUUCUUUACUCCAAUCAAAACUUAGCCCAAUUUGUACCUCUGUACUAAGAACCCAUCAAAAUCUCCAGCUAGAUCUGCCAUAUUCCUAUAGGAAGUGUGCCUUGAUUUUUUUUUUUUUUUUGAAUGUGUGAUUCUUUAAAACAGUUUUGCAGUAAUUUGUUCUUUUCCAUUCUUCCUUGUGGGGUUACAAUACUGUGUUCUUUAUUUUUCUUUCAUAAAACUUUUCCUUCUUUAGAAUAUUUUUCGUUGAUCAAAAUAUUCGCUCUAACUUCUCUCUUAAACGCAGCAUGUCUUUGUUCUUUCAUAAAAUUUUCUAUUAUAUUAAAAUAAACUCUAUCUUAAACUUUUAAAUCUUUCCUACAUACCUACACAUGCCAAUAUACCAUGAAGAAGGACGAAUUUAUUAAGGGGCACGUCGGAAGCAAGCCAGCCACGGGCUCUUUCCCUUGCCCCUUUCGCAGGAAUCUUCAACAGGGCAUUAGUUGAGGGAGAAGUAGAGGGCGCACCCUCUCUAUUAGAUUAUUAAUUUUUGUAUUUUAAUAUUAAUUUUGUAAUGUAAUUAGAUUACUAUAUAUAUUAAAUACAUACAUAAUUUUGCUUUUGUUGUAGUGAUUACGUCCCUGCACAACGAUUUGGUUGUGAAUUCAGGUUUGCUAUACAACUAUUUUUAUGAAAUAAUUUUUAUUCCAAAUAUCAAUACGUUUCUUUCUUCAAAUAUUAAAUUUCUUCAUAAAUUGUCACAAAAUACAUUUUAUUCCAAACAUCAAUAAUUUUCUUUUUUCAAAUAGCAAUAAUUUUCUUUCUAAAAAUAUCAAAUUUCUUCCUAAAUUUCAAUAAUUUUCUAAAAAAAAAAGAUAAUUUGAUUUUUCUUCCUAAAACUCAAUUAUUUCCUAUAAAAAAGAUAAUUUAAUUUUCUAAAAGGAAAAUAAUUUUUUAAAAAGAGGAAAAAGAACUCCUCUAAGAUAAAACCCUAACUUAUUUUCUAGCCCUCAUUUGUUAUAUAACCAAUUUUUUUAAGAAAAUGCAACAAAGUCGGUGAUUCAAACUUCCACUCUCACAACAAUAUUGCAUGAGAAAGAUAUUAUUCUUUCUUUUUUCUCUUCUUUUUUUGAUGUAAAUUUUAAAUAUAUAUAUUUACAUUACAAAAAAUCAUGUGAAAAUUGUCAGUCUUUCUUUAUUACUACAAAUGAAGUGAAUGUUAAUUGGAGUAUCAGUGAAACAUCGAGAAAUUUUUUUAAAUAUUUUUUAGUUUGUUUAUUAUAUAGUGUCUGAUAUCCCCUAUAUAAAAUUUUUGGAUCCACCACGAAUUAUGUACUAAACAUAUUUAUUAGCAACAAAAAUCUAUUAUUAAUAACAAAAAUAAAAAUUGUUGAAAAGUUAUAGGUAAAAAAUGGCCUAGUCUAUUAAUAAAUGACUAUAAAUUAAUGGGUGUAUCAAUGGUACACCGAAAAUUUUUAAAAACAUUGGCAUAAUUUCAAACAUGUCACACACUAAUUUUGGCACCUAUGGUACAAUUAUAAUAAAUAAAUAAGUCAUCAAGUAUGCAAAACUACCACCACCCUAUUUCUUUUUUGGUAGUUGAAAAUAUGAAAAACAGUAGUUCCAAUAUAAAGCUAGCCAUGGAAAAAAGAAAGAAAUAUUAUCAUGUUUUUUACACUAAUGUCCAAUUCUCUAUUUUAUUUUUCCUUUUUGUAAUUUUGUAAAUAAAAGAGACUUUCAAAACUACCCAUCAAAAAGUAAAAACGAAAAAAAGGAAAAUAAAAAUAAAAAGAAAUAACCCAAACAUAUAGUUCAAGAAAAGAGAAUAAUGAAUCUACUUUUUUUAUUUGCAACUUGCAUGAGAUAAAGCCAACCCUGUAGUUUUUACCUGCUGGCUAGCACAUAAGAACAACUACGACAGAAAAAUUAAUAAUAAAACCCUAAACAAAUGAAAUGUACUAAAAAGUAUAUAUAUAAUAUAUCUCAAGGCUGCUUUAAAAGGGAGCAAAACAUUUUCAAAACUGUUAAUUGUGGGAGUGUUUUGUAAAGCAAUUCUUUAAACAUGGCUCUUGUUGGGAAGCUUCAGAGUGAAGUAGAAAUAAGCAUACCUCCCCAUAUAUUUUACAAACUCUUUAAAGAACAAAUUGCUAACAUUACAAAUAUUUCUCCAAAGUUAAUCCAAAAAGUUGAACAUCAUGAUGGAGACUGGAGCAAACAUGGUCACGGUUCCAUCAAAGUUUGGAAUUACACUAUCGGUAUGUAAAAUGAUCUCAUGACCACGAUCACUUAAUACCACUUUUCUCUUUUCUGUCUUUGUUUAUUUCCAUGAAUAAUUCAUUUUUACCAUCUCUAAAUUGUUAUUAUUUCCUCUUUCUGUUGUUUUAUGAUUUGUAAGAUGGUAAAGCCGAAGUUUUGAAAGAACGCGUGGAAUUCGAUGACAAAAAUCUUGUGGUAAGAAUGGUUGGAUUGGAAGGAGAUGUGUUUAAGCAUUACAAAACCUUCAUUGCAACAUAUCAAGUUGUCCCAAAAGGACUGGGUCGUAGCGUGAUAAUUUUUACCUUGGAAUAUGAGAAACUUAAUGAUGGUUCUCCUUACCCUGACAAGUAUCAUGAGGCUAUGGAUAACCUUGCUAAGGACAUUGAAGCUCACCUUUUAAAAGAUACGGUUCAACUUGUUUCCGCACGUUUGCCAUAAUUAAUAUGAUAUGAAUAAGCAUGUUGUGUUAGGGUUGAUUCUAUAAGAUGUUGUGAGGAUUUUGUAACACUAAAUAAUGGUUAUCCUCGUGUAAAAUAAAUGAAACUCAAACAUAAUUUUGUUUUAAAUAAUAUGUACUAUGCUAUCUUUUGAUAUAUAUAAUGUAUGGUUUCUCGGCUAUUUUCUUUGUCACUUGCUGAACUCUUACAUAGUUUUCACUUUCAAGUCUUAUUUCUAUCACUUUUAAGUGCGGGAGAAGAUGAUAAUAUUAUUUCUUUUGGGAAAGGGAAAGUUAAAAGUUGAUUUGAUGGCUUCAAUUUAAUGGAUUUUAAUAUCUAUAUAACACAGGGAUAGGGAGAAAUAAAAGUAAUUAAAGCCAAAAUGGAGUUCUUUAGAUUCUUACUAAAUUAUGAUAGUUUUUUUUUGGGUGUUACUGAUUUAUGACUAAAAAUAACAACAAAAAACAUUGAAAGUUUUUAUUUUUUUUACAUUUUUUCAACAAUUUGAGAAUAGAAUUAAUAGGAGUGAAAAUUCUUUAAAGUCAAUGGAUUGAAAGAAAAAAAAAAACGUUUUUGAUAGAAGCAAACAAAAGUUUUAGGUUUUCUUUUGGACUUUUAUGACUUUUUUUUAGGUCAUCAAUGCAAUCAAUGUAUGAGUGUUUUCUAUGACAUCAAUGUAUAAUCUACAAAAUUAAAUCUUAUGUGAUUUCUAAUUAAGAUUUUAAAAAGUUCUUAAGUAUUUUCUAAACCCUUUUAAAGUCAUCUUAAAAACUUCCUUUUAAACAUGACUCUUUUUUGUGUGUUCUUUAACAACUAAAAUUAAGCAAUGCAUUAUAUUUAAAAGAGGUUUCUUAAUCAAUUUUCUUUAUAAGAAAUUGGUUUUAAAGACCUUUGUCUUUAAAAUAGUUGUAAGAUGACAUGGAAUCUAUAAAAUUUAGGAGUCUAUUUUCUACAUUUAUAUAGGAGAGAGAUCAUAUGGAGAGUUUUGGUGGAAUUUAUAUCCUAAAACUCAUAUUUUGUAGUUUAAAAUCAUAUUACAUUUAACGAAGUUGCUGUUGAGGAAUUAUCAGUGAAAUUGAAUAUUAUAUUCUUGAAUCCAAUAAACUAAGGUUUCGAGACUAUCUUAAAUAUAAACUUGAAUUUUAUGUAGAGAUAUAAACAUAUGGACCAAGUUUGAGUAUAUAGCCUAAACGGUCUAUAGUAUAUGAAUAAGUUUGGGUGUUUACCAUAAGACUGGAACCAUGAAAUAAUCAUUUUACGUUCUAACAUUGUUUACUAUAUAAAACUGAUUAUUUCAAUUAUUGAUGACCUACCUAACUUAAUCUUAAUCAUUAGCUAACUAUGAACUCAUGUUCACACGAGAUUAUCCUUAGAUCUACCUAGGUCAGAGCAACUGGUUUUGAAUAAGGGUUUGUAGGGAUGUUGAUGGUGAAGUGGUAUUCAUCAAAGUAGUCCCCACGUUUAGUAAGUUAAAUCUUCAGGCGUUAAGAAUUAGAUGCUAAUAUGGUUAUUGCGUUGUUUAACACGUAGUGAGGUGUUAAGACAUUACUAAAAAUAAGAAAGUUUUUAUUGUAUGUAAUUGUAUUUCCCAAAAGAUAUUUCUAAAUUAUGUCAAUCACUAAGCUAUUGACAUACAUUUUAAGUAUUCCCUCUCCAAAUUAAGUGAAGAAGUGCGAUCAGAAGAGGCGAGAGGAGGUCAGUACUGCUAAGUACUUGAUAUGUCACGUAGUCGUAAUUAGCUCAAGUUUUGUGAUCCUUUAAGUUGUAAGUUGUACGCUGGCAUUGUAACAAAUUAUUAAUAAAAUAAUUACUAAUUUUUCAAAUCACUUGAUGUCCUAGCAUAUAGUAGAAGCUUUUACCAGCAUGAACACAUACCACUCAAUGCGUUCACCCAUCGUUCUACCAAGUAGACAACUCGACACAUGAAAGUCUGUACUUUUGUGUGUACAUAAUAGCUAGAUUUUUAUCAAGAAUAAGGCUAAUUGGUUUUGUAUACAUACAAGCAUCACAACAAUACAACUUCACAAACAUAGACAUACUUCAAACUGGUCAUAUUUUUUCAUAUGUAUAGAUGAGAUUAGAGCAUGAGUAUUUUUAACAACAUGAAAAUAUAACAAUAUAACUUUGGUGGUAAAAACAUUUUUCAAAAGCUUGCUUUUUUUUUUUAAAUUUCUCUCUUACUCAGCUAAGUCUUUCUUUUUCCCUUUCUCUCUUCUUCUUAUCGUCUAGCUUUUCUUCCCUCUUGUCGCUUGGUCCUACAACUAAGCUUCACAUUUUACUCCUCUAAUAGUGCUUCCUCUUAUCCAAACACUUGAAUUAAUCAUUAUUGAAACCUAUUUAACUUCUCUCAAAACAGGUUAGCUGACUAAUCAUUUAAGUUUAACACUUAACCAACUCCUCCUUGCCUCACCUAGCCCAUCAUUUGAUAAUUGGUUAAGUGCACAUUGUCAUCUUCCCUUUUCGCGUAAUCUAGCUUAUUAUACCAUGAUGCCUUUCUUCAUUACACGUUGUCUAAUUCUUUUGCCUUUUGCCUUUUUCUUCUCGUUGUCUCGAAAUGCCUACUCAAUGUUAAAUCUAUUUACUUAAAAAAUUAAUUUACAAGAAACCCUUCUAUUAGGACGCUGGUUUCACAUCCUUUCUCAAGGUUAACUAAAAAACAACCCUUGAUUCUUAGCUUUUCUUUCUAAUCCUACAAUAGAUUUGGGGUUUACACUUUGGUAGCCAACAAAAACAGUGGGCACAUAUAUAGACACCUAUAGACCAAUUGGAUGCAUGCCAUCCUUUCCUCAAGUAGGUUGGAUGCAUCCCUCAUUCAGUUGGAGACAUAGUUUAACUUCUUAACACCUACUCAGCUUGUUAGACAGAUUGCAAAUACCAUUUAGGCACAUAGUUUUUCAAUGAUGGACCUCCUCAUUUUUGCCACGAUCCUAGGUUCUCAUUCGCACACCUCCAUAUUUCAAAGUUCCUUUAAGAGAUUCCCCCAAUUAAUUGAUAAAAUGGGCUCCUCUUGUUGGUAUUUAUAGGCUUUUCUAAGUCAUCCUUAUCAUCCUCAUCUAAUCUUUGUUUGACACUACCUACCAAAAAUUUGUCCAAGUGUUAGUCCCAUGAGUAUUUUCAUCUCAAAGUUCGUCACUUCACCUACAUGUAAAAACUCAUCUUCUAAGUGUUAUCUUAUCCUCUCGCCAUCUCCUACUUCCAACUCCAACCCUCGUGAUUCCAACUUCCAACUUGAACCAAUUAGGUGCUUGAUCUCUUUCAAAUACUUAACUAUAGUAUUUUCCUUUAUUUCAUAGUUUUGGCUUCUUCAACGCAUAGUUUAUUGAUGAAUUGAUCAUCGUGUAGUUAAUUAUGGCACCAUGUACUUGAUUAUCUCAAUACCACAUAGCUGACUAUCUCACCUUAUACUGAUUAUCAUACCACGUAGUUUGACAACUACUCACAAUGUGGUUUGUUCUAGUUCACAACAUAGUUUAACAACUAUUUACCAUGUAGUUGGUCCUAAUUCAACAUAUAAUUUGUCCAAACUCACCACAUCGUUGGUCCCAACUUGUCACUAUUUUUAUAGUUAUUCACUAUGUAUUCUGUCCCAAGUCACUACGUAGUUUUUCAGUAGUUUUAAACAAGCUAAAAUAUCACAUGCAUAGAAUAAGUGAGCAAUGACAAGAUAAAGUUUAUUAAAAACUAAACUUUAAUAUUACUUAUUAUCCUUAAAGUGAUCAAGGAGAGUAUUGGAAGUAUAACAUAGAAGAAUUAAUAAAUAAGGUGAGAGAAGUUCUAAUAGCACAAAAAAUGUUAUGUCUAGCACCAAAAAUCUAUGAUUUUACGUUCUUAUAUGUGUAUCUUAUAAGUUUCGAGCAAACUAUGGGUAGAAUUCGGUAUUUAUGUCAAUUUGAGGUUUAAUUUGGUGAAAAUAUAGUUAAGAGGCAUCAUCAGAGGUGAAAUGUGAAAAAACUGGCAACAUUUGGCCUCUGCCUUGUAGUGUCGCAACACCUUAUAACACAUUGCGGGGUACAAUAAGGCAAUAACUUUACUGCUCAAAUUUUUCACUGAGUGUGAUACUGCCUUAGAGCGCUAUGAUGCUACGAACCAGAUGCAUAUAAUGUUUCACUUUAGUGUCAUGGCGCUACCCUUAGUGCUACUUCAUAUUUUAAGUACCGUGUUUCGCCAUCUUGGGCCAUCUUAUAUGCGUAUAAUGUUUUACUUUAGGAAACCUUGUAGGCAAUCAACAUAUCCAUAAAUUUCAACAACAUAAAAGAUUAAGGUCGCCUCUUUUAUCUGACCUUAAACUUGUUGCCUAGCUUAGAAACACCUAGGUGAUCCACGAAAGAAUUCAAAUGCAACGUAUCAUAAAUCAAGCAAUAUACCCUUUCUAAAGACAUCAAAAGUUAUAACUAAUGUGCACAAACGAUCUCUAAUUCUUUGGCAUCAUGAAAAUAUUGAAACAUUUUUUUUUUAUCAUUGACACUAGUACUACUAAUCCUACUUGUUCUAGUUCUCAAAUCUUGCAUAAUUGAGGCCAGACAGUUAGGGUUUAUCUUGGUUUCUUAGUGUAGGUUUCUCUUAUGUUAUUUUUAUUUUUGUUUAAUAUAAUUUCAUCCUAUCACUUUUGGUCUUAGGAAAAUUGAGAGAAUUAUUUUGUUUUGGAGCCAGCAUCCAUCCAUCUUAUGCCACAUUUUUCAGGUAAGUUUUUUGUUUUCCUUUUCAAUUUGACUCUUGUUUUCAUGUAAUUAUCACUUAAGGAUAAUGUUAGAAUUUAAGUUGGAAGCACAGUAUGUCUGUGUUUUGGAUAGAGCAUAUGAGCUUGGGGCUAUUGUGUGUACUUCUUUGUUGCCUUGUGCCUUUCAUUGACUUAUCGAUGACAUGCUCUCAAAGUCAUGCAGUUGUGAGGCAAUAUAUGAAUAAAACGAUUAUGAUUUUAAGCAUAUUUUAAUUUUUUUUCUUCCAUAUCUUAUGCACACUUUAGUCUUUCAGUUAACUAUCGUAGGUUUUGCAUGCUUAGAGUAGCUUUAUCGAGUCCAUAUGUUUGUUGUCACGUUGAAAGGCCUUUCUUUAGUGGUAGUUGCAUUUCCAUCUUACUAUUGCCAAUAUGGGGAAGGAAAAUUGAAGGUUCUUUAAAUUUAUUCUAGGUUUUUUUUUUAAGUAGAAGGGUUUUUGACUCAUUUAUACGUGAGUGGAUAUGAAAAAAUAACUUUAAAUGUGCAUCAAUUGAUUGCUUUUUCCAUUUUAUGCUUAGUUCUUGUUAAUUGUUAAGGCAUGAGAAUGUAACUUGGCAACUUAGCAAACAAUUGUGUGUAACUGUAUGCUUUAUUCUACUUUGCUCGGGUUGAUCAAGGACUAAGUUGGGGAUUUUAGGUAGCACAAGAAAACGUGUUAUCAAAUCUCGCUUAAUUCAAGAUCAUUUUAUGGUUUUAUGUUUCUUUUUUACUAUUUUGUAGGCAUCAAACAAAUCAAGGGUAUCAUUCGAUGUUGAUGUCAAAUUUGAGCUGAAUUAGGUGAAUACGAAGUCAGUAUGCAUCAACUUAGGACAAGGAGUGAAGAAAAUAACAAAAUAGGUAGGCCUUGCAAUGUUGCAGUACUUAUGGAGCAAUGCACGAUGUUGUAAGAAGGGUUAUUGUUAGAAAUAAUAGGCUAGGUCAUGAGUGAAAGCCCAUCGGUAGUUAAUAUUUACUUUUUCCUAAUUUUUAUUCUUUUAAUUAGGUUCAUGGUUUUUCUCCUGAUACUUAGUUUUCCGAGUAAAUUUUGGUGUUCUUUGUCUAUACUUUUAAUAUGGUAUCAGAGUGAAAUAUUGAACAAACCCUGGAUAACACAACUAGUGAUAGAAAUCAAAUAGAGAAGAAAGUCAGUUUUAGUGUUGUCGUUGUGACUAUUGUCGAUGCUCGGAUCAAUUGCUGCCAUGGAUGAAUGGUUCCACCGCCUUUAGAAAAUACUAACCAAUGUAAUUCUGUCAAUUCUGUUGUCGUUUGCAUCUCUCAUGCGCCACCACUUGAGCUACACGCGUCAGUAUCCAUCCUCCUAAGGCAACACUAAUCAUUUCUUUUGUGCAACCCUUUUCUUCUUUUGCGACCUAUAUUACGCUCCAUGUCCCGAUACAUGUAUUGCCACCUAAUUUUGACUGGUUGCCACUGCUUGUACCAUCAAAUCUAUAUGUCCUCCCAGCCAUUGACCUGAGUUAUCAUUUCGAUGUUAGAAAUCCUCACAUUCACUCAACAUUAAAGGUUGGUGAAUCUUCAGCACAUUCCAACUGUAAUGUGCAAACAUUCUCUUCUUCUUUGAGAAUAGUUGCUUGUUCCUGCGACGUUCAUUCAUAGAUGUGUCAUUUUAAUCUCUAAGUGUGCGACUUAAUAGACAACUAAAAUAAGAUGAUGCGAUAAAAAGGGCAUGUUUUAUCUAUGGAUUGCUGAUUUCCUAGUGAUAUGCAUGUAAUACAAGUUUUCCUUUCUAUCACCCAAGUGUAAGCAAAGAGAGGUUUCCUGGUAAGUCUAAGGUCAAACUUAGUGAAUUAGUAUUCCAAUUGAAUCUAUUGUGUGGCUAGUCCUAUGUUGUAUACUCUUUAAAAGAGGAAGUGUACAUGAGUCUGCCUCUAGGAUUUAAAGCUCAAUUUAAUAAACAGGUUUGCAAACAUCAAAAUUCAUUAUAUGGGUUGAAAUAGUCAUUAAUAGCAUGAUUUAACAUAUUUAACAUUUGCAUCAAGUCAGAGAGGUACAAUUAAGGGCACUCUAAUCCCACCUUGUUCACCAAAGUCUCCAAGGUAGGGAAAGUUACAGUAUUGAUUGUUUAUGUGGAUGACAUUGUGCUAUCUAGAGAUGAUAUUGAUGAGAUCAUUCAACUAAACAAGAAAGUAAGGUUUGAAUUAAAGUUAAGCACUUCGGAAAUCUGAGUAGUUUCUUGGGAUAGAGAUUACUAGAUCCAGAGAAGGCAUCUUAGUGUCCCAAAUACAGUACACCCUUGAUUUAUUAGUUGAGAAAUGUAUGCUUGGAUGUUGUCUUGCUAAUACACUCGUUGAGUUCAAUGCGAAACUAAAAAAUUCAAAUGAAAGGGUUUCUGCUGAUAAAGAAAAAUAUCAAUGCUUGGUGGAAAAGCUGAUUUACUUAUCUCACACUAAACCUGACAUCUCUUAUGCUACAAGCACCAUUAGUCACUUCAUGCAAGCACCUUAUGAGGACCACAUGGAAGCCAUUAAUAGGAUUAUGAGGUAUUUAUAAGAAGCUCCUGGUAAAGGUCUACGAUUCAAGAAGGUUGACAAAAGAUGUGUUGAAGUUUAUACUGAUUUCGACUGGGCUAGAUUUAUUGUUGAUAGAGAGUCUACCUCACGAGACUGUACCUUUUCGUAGGGCAAUCUUGUUACUUGGAGAAGUAAGAAGCAACAAGUAGUGGCUAGAAGCAGCGUUGAAGCCGAAUAUAGGGCUAGAUGUUUGGAGAUCUAUGAGGAGAGAUCUGGCUCUAUAAGAUGUUGUCUGAUCUUUAUCAAGACUAUGAGGUAUCGAUGAAGCUAUUCUAUGAUAACAAGGCAGCCAUUAGCAUUGCUAAUUACCUUAUCGAACAUGACAGGACUAAACAUGUGGAGAUUGACACACACUUUAUCAAAUACAAGGUUGAUAAUUGUAGCAUCUGCAUUCCAUACAUAUAAAAUUUUAAUGAUAUCCUCGAGCCAACAAAUUUUUGAUACCCUCACAAAGGGACUCGUCUUACAGAAUUUUGAUUUGUGUGUUAGUAUGUUAGGUCUUUAUGACAUUUACGUCCAAAGUUGUGGGGGAGUGUUAGAAAUAAUAAGCUUAGGUCAUGUUGAAAGCUCAUCAUUUCUAACACUCUCCUCAAGUCAAAUCACCGUGAAAAUCCAACAAAACUUGUGAUGGAAAUCAAACACAAAUAGGAAUGCUCGGUGUUGUCUAGAAAACACAACUAGUGAUGGAAAUCAAAUAGAGAAGAUAGUUGUUUGUAAUUUUAGCGUGACAAUCGAUGCUCGCAUCAUUGCUGCAAUGGACGAAUCGUGUCGCCCUGCCUUCAGAUAAAUUCGACCAAUGUAAUUUCGUUGAUUCUAUUGCCCACGUGACAUUGCGGGAGCUAUACGCGUUGGUCCAUCCUCCUCAGACAACAUCAACCAUCCUUUCUGUGCAACCCUCUUCUUCAUAUGUGGCCUAUAUUGCUCCUUACACUCUGAUUCAUGCACUGCCACCUAAUCUUGGCCAACCACCACCACUUCUACAAUCAAAUUUGUAUCCCCUACUACCCACUAACAUUAGUUAUCAUCUCGAUGUUAGGAAUCCACAAAUUCAAACAUUUAAGAUUGGUGAAUCUUCGACAAAUUCCAAACCUAACGUGCAAGCUUCCUCUUCUUUUUUAAGAAUAGCUACUUGUUCAUGCAACGUUCAUUUGUAGAUGUGUCAUGUUAAUCUCUAAGUGAGCUACUUAAUAUGUGACUAGAAUAGGAUGAUGCGAUAAAAGGUGCAUGUCCUAUCUAAGCAUCGCUGAUUUCCUAGUGAUAUGCAUAUAAUACAAUUUUUUCUCUCUAUCACUCAAGUGUAAGCAAAGAGAAGUUUCUUGGUAAGUUCAAGGUCGAACUUAGGUAAUUAGAUUUCCAAUUGAAUCUAUCGUGUUGCUAGUCGUAUGUGAUAUAAUCUCUACAGUAAUUGUGCAUUGUUUGUUUAUCCAAAUUAUCUACACUAAGGUGCAACUAACAAUGCAAGAGGAUCACGACAAUGGAGUGCGAUGAAGUACGAACUCACAUUGUAGGAAUGGGAAGAAAUAAUAUUUAAUUAACUAAUCACGAUCUAUUGUGUAUUAAUAUUUCGAGGCGAUACAAAACAUGUAUUAACUUCAAAAUUAAGGAAAGUAUUUUCUCGGCACCUUCGCGAUACAUGCUCGCCUUUUGAGAUCCAAAUACUUGAAGUUAAGCUAUGAUUUGUAUCUAAAUUAGUUUGUAUGCAUCGUAGGUAAGUUAUCUUAAUUUAAGACAAGCAUCUUUUUGGCUCUUUCGCUACACACUUUAAUAUUAGUGCAACUUAUUCGAAGGAUGAAUUCAACGAUGAGAUUGUAUUGCUAAAAUCUCUUUGCCAUUUGUUUAGUUUAAUAGGAUAAAAGUCCUAGGCAGCGAAAAAUUUUACUGAACCAUUUUUCAAUUUAAUUUGAAAAUCCCAAAAUAUCAAUACAUUGAUAAAAUAAUACAGAAACUAAUUUUCUUAUUAUAACUUUAAAGCUAAGCAUGCUUUCUAAUUAUAGAGUAGAGAAAGAAAAACUUACAUAGUUUGACGCCUCUAAAUCUACCAAAAACUCUAAAUUGGGACACCACUCAUAGGAGACCUUCCUAUCCUUUGGGAUGAGAUUGGUUUAUGGGAACCAAUUGGGAUGGAAAAAGUUUUAGAUGCUUGUUUUAACCCAUAAAUGGAUCGAUUCACUUGCAAACGUUUUGCUCCUAACAUUGGGUUUGAACCCCUCUAGGUGAGACAUAAAGAUACUCUUUUCCAGAUUGUCAUUUAGAAAAGUAGUAUAGACAUCUAUUUGUCAUAUUUCAUAAUCAUAAAAAGUGGCUAUGGACACUUUAACAUAGCCUUCCUUUUGGGUCUACCAUUCAUUUUGGGUAUACCCUUUUGCUAUAGGUCUAUACCUUUCUCUUAUAUAUCCAUUUGCACCCUAUAGGUUUCACCCCUUUAGGUAGAUCUACAAGCUUCCACACUGAAUUGAAGUAUAUAGACUCCAUUUCAAGGUCCAUGGCUUUGACCCAUUGGUCCUUGUCUACAUCAUUCAUUGCUUGUUUAUAGGACAAUAGAUCCUCAACGCCAUCAUCUAGUAUGACAAUCUGAGUUUCAGUUAAAUUCAAGUAACAGUUAUGUUGUGAUACAAUCUUUCCACUGCGUCGAGGCAUUCUCAACGAUUGAGAAAGAUGAGACUGACCUGAUGUGUUGGUUUCAUCAACAAUUGAUGAGGGACCAGCUUCAUCAACAACCAUUGUCGAUCAUUUGUUACUUCACUUAAUACUAUUUUUUUGUGGUUUAUGAUCUCUCAUGGGGUCUUCUUCAAAGAAAGUAGUCUUUGUCGAUACAAACACUCUAUUUUACUGUGGAUCGAAGAAUAGACCACCUUUCAUUUUUUUAGGAUAAUCAACAAAUUUAUAUAACCUUGAACGGGGUUCCAACUUUUUGGGAUUUGUCAUUAACACGUGUGUUGGACAAUCCCAAAUUCUGAAGUGACUUAAACUACGUUUAUGUCCUCUUCAUAACUCGAAAGGUGUUUCAAAAACUCUCUUCGAGGGAACAUUGUUCAAGAUAUGAACUGCAGUCUCUAUUGCAUACCCUUAAAAAGAGCUAAGCAAUUGAGCAUAGCUCAUCAUUGAACGAACUAUGUCUAACAAGGUUCUAUUUCUCCUUUUUGAUACAUUAUUUUGUUGAGGUGUACUAGGUGUUGAACGUUAGGAAUGGAUUCCAUGUUCUAUCAUAUAUUCCUAAAAUCUCAAAUCCAUGUACUCUCCACCUCGAUCAGAUUGAAAUAUUUUAAUUUUUUUACUUAAUAGAUUUUCAACUUCAACUUUGUACUCCUUGAACUUUUCAAGAGCUUCACACUUAUGCCUCAUUAAAUAUAAAUAACCAUACCUUAAAUAAUCAUCUAUAAAAGGGAUGAAGUAUUCAAAACCUCCUAUAGCUUUUACAUUCAUCAGACUACAGACAUCUAAAUGUAUAAGUUCUAUGGGGUCUUUGGCUCUAUAACCUUUUUUAGUAAAGGACAUUUUAGUCAUUUGUCCUUCAAGACAAGAUUCACACGAAGACAAUGAAUCAUCUUCUAACUCAUUUAGAAGUCCAUUAUUUAACAAUCUCUCGAUCCUAUCGAGAUUAAUGUGACCUGAUCUUAAAUGCCAAAGAUGGGUAUUGUUAUUAUGAUAAAUUCUUUUCUUUUUAUUUUGAGUAUUAUCAUAUUUAAACAUCUCAUUAUUUAAAAUUGUUUUCGCUUCGUUACGUCUUAAUACAUACAAGUUGUCUUAAAGCUUAGUUGAACAAAUAUGUACACCAUUAUUAGAAAUAAACGCUUCAUUUAAAGAAAAUGUUACAUUAUAUGAUUGUUCAAUAAGACAAUAAAUAUAUAUAAGAUUUCUUUUAAUCUUAGGAACUAUGUGGACGUUUUGUAAAAACAAGAAUCUAUUUUUGAAAGACAGCUUAACAUCUCCCACUACACGAGCUGAAAUGGCAUCUUAUAGAAAUUUAAUUUUGGAUAUGAUUCAAAAUUAAUUUAUUAGAGAUAAAAUAUUUGAAUGACUUCAAAUAUUAAAUAAAUUUAAUGUGAAUUUGAUUCAUAUUAAAAUAUAUUGGUUAUGAGAUAAACUUAUAUUUGAAUAUGAUUCAAAUUUAAUUUCAAUUAGAUAUAAGACAUUUAAUUUAGCCACUAAUUAAUUGGAGAAUUAAUUAAUAGUUUAGUUUUAUUAAAUUAAAUUAAUAUAAAUCUUUAAGAUAUUGGAUAGAUAUUAGUUAAAUAAGAUUUGAAUGAAAUAUUAAUUAAAUAUGAUUUAAUUAAUUAUUAACUAAUUAGUAAAUUUGAAAUUUUUACUAAUUUAAUAUUUUUAUGGAAUCUCAUGAAUCUCUCCAACUUCCUUUUAUACUUCAAGAAGGAAAGACACUUAUAAAUAUAAAACUACAUAGAAUAGCAUUUUGAAAAUAUGAUAUAGCAAAUAUAACACAUUUUUUUAGAAUUUUGCAAAUGUGACAAAAUUUUCACUUAUAAAAAAACUCUUCAUCUUAAAAUUGUUAUUAUUUCUAAACUACCCUUCAAUAACUUAUUUCCUUCCUCUUUUUAAUGCCCUACACAUUAUUUAUUUAUUUAUUUAUUCUCCCACUUUUUUAGGCCCUAAUUAUUUAUUUGUUCUUAUACAAGAAAAAAUAUUUGUUCUUUCUGUCUUAAUCUUGAUUUUAGAAUAUUAAUAGUACAAUAAUUACAAUAUAAAAUAUAAUGGUGUUGUUGAUCAGAGUAAUUUAACUUCAUUUGUAAUUUUUUUUUGUAAUUUUUUUUUUUACUUUAUUUUAUAUGUAUUUUGAGUUGAAUCUGAUUUCAAAUGAUUUUGCUUUUAUUUUUUUUGCAUUGAUUUUGUUUUGGUUUUACUUUAUCUUAGUUUUGUAUACCAGGGUUGUGAUAUACUUAUAUUAUAUGUAUUAGUUGGUUGAUAUACUUACUACGUGGUUUUCAUUUUUUCUUUCAAAUUUUAUGCACUUCAUUAUAGUAUUAUUAGGUAUAUGAAUGAUAUAACUCAGUGUAUCUUUAUCAAGUAUAUCAACAAAAUAUUGUUAAAGCAUAUCAGCAAAGUGAAUCAUUAACAAGUAUAUGAAUCAAGUUUAAAAGUGUAUAUCAAUAGUAUAUCAAGUGUAUAAGUAGGACUUCAAGCAUAUCAAGUGUAUUUAAUGAAUCAAAUGUAUAAGUAAAGAAUACUAAUUAAGUAUAUUUUCACAACGCAUCGGAUUUAUCAAAUAUAUCAUGUACAUCAAACAUAUCAAAUUUGUCUAGUAUACCAAUGAAGCAUAACAAGUUUAUUACUGGUGUAUCAAGUGUAUCAAACUUAUAAGAGAAGCCUUUAAGUGUAUCAAAUUAAUCAAGUGUAUCAAGUGUAUCAAGAAGAUUAAAAUAUAAUGAGGAGUAUAAUGUGUAUCAAGAUGUUUUAGGUGUGUAUCAAAAUGUUUUAGGUGUGUAUCAAAAGCUAUCGAGUGUAUCAAAAAGUAUUAGGUGCAUCAAGUGUAUUUAUCAAAUGUAUCAAGUGUAUCGGCAAGAUGUAUCAAGGGUAUUAGGUGUAUCAUAUGUGUAUAAGGUUUAUUAAAUAUAUAUCAGUAACGAGGGCAUUUGUGACAUUUUACCUCUUGAUGUGUGGGUUGGGCUUUGUUUUUGCAAUUUUUGCAAAUAAGAAAAUAUGUGUGUUAUGGACUUAAUUAUUAUAACUUGUUUUACAAUUUUUACAAGUGUCUCUUAUAAAUAUCUAGAAGAAAACAGUUUUCUUCAACGAAUUAAUAAAAAAAAGUCAUUGCUUUUGCUAUCUGGAAAAAGAAAAUAGUUUCUCUCUAAACCUUUUUCUAACCAAAUUAGUUCCCACAAACCAAUCUCAUCCCAUAUGAUAUGAAGGUCUCUGAUGGGUGGUGUCCUAAUUUGGAGAUUCACUGUAGAUUCAAAGACAUAAACAAGUAAUUUUUAUUUCUCUAAUCUAUAAUUAGAAAGCAUGCUUAGCGUUUAAAUCUUAAUGAGAAAACUAGUUUCUUAAUUAUUUUUGUCAAUGUACUAGUAUUUUGGGAUUCCCAAAUUAAAUUGAGUAAUGGUUCUGUAAAGUCUUCCACUGUCAUAGGGCUUUUAUCCCUUCAGCUUUAAUAUUAAUUUCCUGUGUUCGACCUUGGAUCACCUAAGUAAACUGAAUGCUUCGCUUAUACUUGGACAAGCAAUAGAAAAACUUGCACUUUAUGGACUUAGAAGUAGGUUGUCGAGACAUUGCGAGUAUUUUGCAUGCAAUGAUCAUUUCAACUCGCAUGAUGAAGAGAAUGUUGGAGAGCAUUUUGCAUGCAAUGAUCUGUAUUCAAUGACAUGUCAUCACACCACAAACCAAACAACCAAACAGUCAUUCUAUAAUAAGUAUGUAUGCCUUGACUAGAGGCAAGUCUUUGAGAAUAUUUUUCUUAGAGACAACACAACAUAUUUCACAAUAAGUCCCAUGAAACAUAAUCCCAAUUUCAAAACAAUCACAUCCAAAAUCAUUACAUCUUGGGAGAGUGUUUCAUGAAAGCAAGAUUAGCAAAACACCAAGCACUUUCCCUUAUUGUAAAAGGCAAAAAUUAGAGCCAAUGAGUAUGCGAAAUCAUACUCAGCAGCUUGCCUCAUCUUCUUGUACCUUCAUUUGUUGUUUAUUUGUUUGUAUUUGUAAUGUAAGCUUCAUGGCCGAAAGGCCUAAAGCUUUAGCUAUGAAUGCAAUACAUUUCUACUUCCAUUUUUUCAUUUUCUUAUCUUGCCAUUUCAUUUAAGUCUAUGUAAUUAGGGGUAAAUAAUGUAAGGCAUAAUUAAUGUUAGGGAACCUGGAUGUCUGCGUUAAUUAUUUGUCUUGUUUAGUCAAAUGCGGUCAUUAAUGUUUUGUUUUAUUCAAGAGAAAAGUUAAAGUGUUAACUAUUGUCAAUUGACGCAUGAUGAUUUUGAUUUAUCUAAACAGAUGACAAAAGGGUUGUACCGAUGCAAUCUUGUAGCCAAACUCUCAUUUGUAGCAUACAUAUAAAAAAUGUGAGUGCAUGCAACAAAGACAUCGAGAGGUUGCUUCCUUUAAUAUAGGAUGAGUUGCUUAUAAUUAAUUCAAAAAGAUUAUAUACAAAUUAUUUAUUAAUUUUAAGUAUUUGGAUGUCGAAAGGGGAGCAAAGAUGACAAAGGCCUUGAGAGGUUGCUCACUUUAAUUAAAUCUUAAGUUAACAAAUGUUUUGUAUCGUGUUAACAUGUUAGAUAUCCUUGCUUUAUAUUUAAUUAGUUACAUAUUUCUACAUUUCAUCGCCAAUUACAUGAGUUCCUAUUUCAUUUCAUUGCCAUCUCCAUCUUGCUGCUCCAUGGCACUUAGUGUAAAUAUAUAGGACAAAAUUAUAUUGUGCCUAUUAAUAGACUGUAUAGAUACCACGUGAGUUAGAACACAUGAUUAACCUAUUAAGAUUAUUAUAUUCCUAUGGUCGACCCUGGCUUACCCAGAAAACCUCUUUUCGCUUAUACUCGGGCAAGAGAGGAAAUUUGUACUCAAAAUAAUGAAUUAACGAAGUCAACAACGUAUAGGUAGGAUUGUACUGUUCCUUUUAUCACAUGACCCUAACCUAAUCACCAUUUCUAGUGGCAUGCUUAGAGCCCAAGACAUAUUCACGAAUUGAUGUUGUAAUUAAACAAACAAGCAUAAAGCUUAAUGCAAUUAGUUUGAUUUGAAUUGGCAUGAAUUUCAUUGAAUUAGGCUAGUUUGAUUCUUCCGACAAUUUAGUUAGCUUUUUUAAUUGAAAUUGUUAGGGGUAGUCAAUGAAUUCUAUUUAGUAAUGAAAAUCCCAUGAGCAAAUUGAUGCUUUGAAUAAAGUGAAUCAAUUAACCAGAUAGGAUCUUUUGACUAUUGAAUUUAUACUUGAAUUUACAUGGUUUUAUGCAAAUUUACAUUCUUUGAAAUGAAAAAUAUCUGAAACCCCUUUGAUAUCCUUGGGUUGUUUACUAUUUACUUGGGACAUUUACUCUGUUCGACCAAGGCUUGCAACUAAGACUAGUUCUUGUGGAGUGUUUUGGUCAAAUUAUUUAAUCUGGAUUUUGGCAACGAAAUUCAUCUCGACAUGAUUCAAGUAAUUUUGACACAUUCAUCAUUCUUCUUUCCUUUAAGUUUUUACUGUUUAUUAGAGUAAUCUUCUUGCUACAUAAAUCAAACACUUGACAUGCUUCUAGAUGUCUUACCAGAAGUCAGGAUCUUAUCUAAGGACUUCAAGCAUGCUAGAGUUCAAAAUCCUGACAUUCUUAACUGCAGAGUCUUUCUCAACUCAAAUUUGAUUGAGUUUUUGCUUAAGUUCAGCAAUGGUAGACACGAGCCCGUGAUUAUUAUGCAUAAGAGACUUAGUUCUCUUCUUUUGAACAUUUAGAGUUUUCAAGUUUUCUUGACAUCUCUUUUAGAGGGUUUGAUAAGCUGAUAAAUCUUAAUCAACGAACUUGGCUUUGCAUACUUUUUUUUGCUCAAUGACCAUCCAUCAGCAUAGACAUUGAACUCUAAAUUUACCAAACAAGUGUCUGAUGUGAUGUUGCUAACAAAUGCCUUAACAUCUCCAUUAGAGUCACUAUUGUUGAACUUAUUGCCUUACAUGGUUGAUGCAUUGCCUUUGAUUUGCUUUUUUAAAAAGUUUGGACAUUCUUGAAAGUGCCUAAAUCAUUCACAUUCUUUACACCUAAAAAUUUUUUGUAAAGAAGAAUUAGACAUACCUAAUUUGUCAGGGUCCGUCUUGUAAGGCUACAUUUUGGAAAACUUGUGAAAAUAUCCAGCACAAGUUUUGUUCUCAUUGAGAUUAGCAAAAUUAGGCUUCUCACCAUACUGUUUAAGUACACGAUUGAAUUGUUUCAACAAUAGCAAUGGACUCAACAUGAGUGUCGUCAGAAUCUUAACAGGCACUUGAUGUUUCUCUUUUAUCACAGAGUAGAAAGAAAUUCCCUUUUUCUUCUUUUCAGAUGUACCUAAGAACAUUUCAAAGGUUGACAAUGAUCUGAAUAGUUCAUCCACCUUCGCAAUGAAGCUAUGUUUUGAGAUUCUUCCAUUUUGUUGUCACUUUUACAUCAUUCCUUGGGAAUCUUCUCCUCCAAGGCAAACAAUUCAUCUGCAAUAUCCAACAAAACAAAUGUUGAACUUAAUAAUAGUUUCAUCAUCAUGCAAUCUGGGAGACUCAAAUUUAGAUAAUUCGUAGUUGGAGUCUUGACAUCUUCACCUUGGAGGUAUCUUCAUGCACAACAAUCAAGACCUCCCUUGCUUCCUUAAACACAUGUGUGAAUAAGUCUGAUGUCUACACCAUUAAAUAUUGACAUAAAAUAGUGUAAAGUUUCCCACAGAUGCUUCAUCUUCUACUUUGAUCAACUAAAACUCUUGUUCUAGUUUCUUUUUUUUUUUUCAAUUUAGUUUUCUAGUGGAAUGCCACCGACCAUAAAUAAUUGCUUUCCAUGUUUGUUAUCAAUUGACUUUUGAAAGUCAAUUGUUCAUGCUUUCCAGUAGGAGUAAUUAGUUUUAUCAAGAACUAGGGGGCAAGUGUUGGGAUCCACCUUCUUUGUGUUAGAAAUUAAUAAGCUAGAUACAUUAUGGAUAACACAUUAAUAGAUACAUUUUGUGUCUUUUAGGAAGUGUCUCUUGAGUACUAUAUAUAGAGAUCAUUUCCUUCAUUUAUAUGCAAGAUAAAAGAAUCAAAUCAAUAGAAGCAAAUCGAGUUUUAGAAAGUAAGUGAGUUUCAAGAGAACAAUAUUCUUCUCUUGUGUGUUAUUGAGUUUUCUAAGAGAACAAGUUUCUUCUCUUAAAAGUUUGUGAGAUUUAGGGUAAAUUUAGAGUGGGCUCGUCAACGCCUCCAACAAAGUGGUAUUAGAGCAAGGAUUGAAAGAUGUCAUCUAACAUGUUGCAGCCUCAACUUCCUCGCUUUGAGGGGAAAACUAUAGGCGGUGGAGCCAGCAAAUGAAGGUUAUUUAUGGAUCUCAAGAUCUUUGGGAUAUUGUUGACAACGAAUAUUGAGAGUCAGAAAGUGAGAAUGGUCUUUCAGCACAACAACUCAAUGAGUUGAGAGAUGCUAGAAAAAAGGAUAAGAAGACAUUAUUUUUCAUCUACCAAGUUGUGGAUGAAAAUAUUUUCGAAAGAAUAUCAAGAGUCUCUACUGCUAAAGCAGCAUGGGAUGCAUUGCAAAAUUUGUAUGAAGGAGAAGAAAAGGUAAAAUUAGUCCAAUUACAAACACUUUGAGCUGAAUUUGAUACAAUUCGAAUGAAAGAUGCCGAAACUAUUGAAGAAUAUUUCAACCGUGUUCUCUUAAUUGUUAAUCAAUUGAGAUCAAAUGGAGAAACAAUUGGAUCCUUAGAAGCAUGACUAGAAAAUAUGAGCAUAUUGUUGUAGCAAUUGAAGAAUCCAAAGAUUUGUCAACUCUCUCUAUAAAUAGCUUAAUGGGAUCUCUUCAAUCUCAUGAUCUCAGAUUGAAGAUGUUUUGAUUCUACUCCUUCAGAAAGCUUUUCAUAUGCAGUCCUCCAAUAGAGGUCGAUCCAAUGGAAGAAGAGGUGGAUGUGGUGGUAGAGGCAAUGGACGAUCCAGUGUUGUAACAAAUACAGAGUCAGAAAGCAGAGACAAUCAAUCUUUUUCAAAUAGAGGACGGGGAAGAAGUUCAAAUAGAGGAAGAGGUAUAAGUGGUGGUCGUGAAGAUUUUUCUCACAUACAAUGUUUCAAUUGUAGACAUUAUGGACAUUUUCAAGCAGACUGUUGGUCUAAGAAGAUCAACUCUGUGAAGCAUGUGUUUUCGGAAAGCAUCAUCGAAAUUCAUUUUCGACUGGAGGUUCUUGGAGAGCAUCAAAGCCACUUGAGCUUGUUCAUACAGACUUAUGUGGACCAAUGAGAACUACCACAUGGAGGUAAUCGUUAUUUUCUCACAUUUAUUGAUGACUACAGUCGAAAAACAUGGAUUUAUCUACUAAAAGAAAAGAGUGCUAUUUUCGAAUGUUUCAAGACAUUCAAAGCAAUGGUGGAAAAUGAAAGUAACUUGAAAUUGAAAUCAUUACGUUCGGAUCGUGGAGGAGAAUAUAUUGUUUUUGUAGAUUUCUUGAAGGAAAAUGAAAUCAAGCAUCAAAAGACUGUUUGAAGAACUCCUCAACAAAACAGAGUUUCAGAGAGGAAAAAUAGAAUAAUAAUGGAACUUGCAAGAAGUAUGUUGAAGUUGUAGAUACCGUAUUUUGUCCUAUAUUUAUUUAUUAUAAAAGAAAAAAGAAAAAGAAAAAGAAAUUAAAUUUGAAUUUGAAUUUGAAUUUGAAUUUGAAUUUGAAUCUUAAAUUUAUAUUUAAAAAAAACAAUAAUAAUAAUAAUAAAUACAUUUAAAAAUAAAUAAUAAAAAUAAAACUAAAAGGUUUGAUUUCCUUCCUAUUUUUUCUCAACCAUCCCUUUUUCUUCGUCAUCACUCUCCCACUUUCUCCCACUCUAUCACUUUCUCCCACUCUCCCACUUUCUUCCUAUUUCUCUGUAAUCUGCACUCCAUCUCGUGAUCUAAAAAAAAGCAAUGGAGCUUGCCCUAUAAAAAGGAAAGAGGAAAAAGAAAACAGGGGAUCUUUUUUUUAUUAUUGGAGGAUUUAGAAAGAGGGGAAGAGUGAAAGAAGAUCAAAAAGGAAUAACCUUUGGCAUUGAAGGGAAGAGUGAAAGAAGAUCAAAAAGGAAUAACCUUUGGCAUUGAAGGGCAGACCUGCUGGUAAGUUUUUUUUUCUUUUUCCUCUUUUUAUUCUUAUUCUUGUUUAAUGAUUUUUUUUUUUUCUUCUUCUUGUUUGAUAUUCUUGUUUGGCAUCUGUGUUAAUUUCUUUUUAAUUAAUUAGCAUCAUAUAUUUGUAUUUGGAUACUCAUUCUUCAUUGACACCCAUUUUACAGUUAAUUACUUAUUACUUAUAUCCAUAUGGCAUCCUUAAUAAUUAUGCAUAAUUAAUCAAUUAGCCUUUUGUAUUUGGUAAUACUCAUUCUUCAUUGGCAUUCAUUUUACAGUUUUUGUUAAUUACUUUAUCCAUGUAUCCAUAUGGGUAGGCAUACCCUGUUAAUAAUUACUGUUAUCCAUAUAUUAUCCAUGUUAAUAAUUAUGCGUGAUAUAAUUAAUAUUUGGCAACAACCAUUUUUCAUUUGGCCUAUUAAUUAAUUAGCAACUUGUAUGUGACAUUUUCACUCCCUCAUUCUAAUUAUUUGCAUGAUGUAUUAAUUAAUCAGUAUGCAUAUGUGGCUAUAAUUAUUUGAUAUUUAUUUGGUGUGAUUAUUUAUUCGCAAUAUUAUUUAUUUGUAUAUUGGGCCAAACCUACUUUAGCAUUCAACUGUUAAUUAUUAUUUGAUAUCCAUUUGGCCUCGUUUAAUUAUGCAUUAAUCAAUUAUUUUGCAUCCUGCAUUAAUCAAUUAUUUUGCAUCAUUUUGAAUUAAUUAAUUAUGUUGCAUAUGUUGUAUUAAUUAAUUAUCUUGCAUCCUACAUUAAUAUCUUUUACAUUUUGCAUAUAUUAUCAAUGUAUUUAUUUUAUCUCAGCAUAUUACACCUAAGUAUUUUUCAAAUUUCAUAAUGUUUUGUCAUUGUUAUUAUUUUUUUUAUAAUAAUGUAAAUUGGAGAAAAAGUAUUGUUUUUUAUGGAUUUUAUAAUUUAAAAUCCAUAAAUACAUGAAAUUUUUCCGUUUGAAAUUUAAUUAAUAGAUUUUUUUUUUUAAAUUAACACAUUUCAUAUUUUAAAUGAGACUGAGUAGUAUUUUCUAUGAAUUUAUUAAUUCUAGAUAUAUGAAAUUUUUCAUUAAACACCUAUGAUAGAGAUUAAAAUAUCAAGUGUUGGUAUCUUAAUAUUCUUAAGGUGAAUAAAAAUAUUUUAAAACAAAAAUAAACUUAAUUUUUCUAAUGGCUCCUAUGCCACUCAUAAUCAUCAAUUCAUGCUUAGUUUUUACUUUCUUCGAUAUGAAUUGAUAAACAUGGGACAUUUAAACAAAACCUAAAUAAAAUUUUAUUUUGUGAACCUUUAUAAUUUAAUUUAAAAGAUAAAAUUGGGUAACCAUUUUUUUGGGUGUUGUAGGGUGCUAACACCUUCCCUACACAUAACUGACUCCCGAACUUAAAUCUCUGAAUGUACGCAGACCAUUUUUUUUUCUUUCUUUUUUUUGGGUGACCAAUCACACCUUAAUAUGAUUGGUGGCGACUCCAAAAUUUUUUAUUAAAAUAAAAUAAACGGGGAGGUCGGCCGCUCCGCGUAGCGAUCACGUCGCGACAGCUUGGCGACUCCGCUGGGGAUAUUGCAAUGUGUAAGAGAGUCAAGCCAGCACAUUUUUAUCUUUUAUUCUUAUUAUAUUAUAAUAUGUUGGUUCACUUAAUUAUUUGUUUUUUUUAUUGAUUCAUAUGUAAUAUUCUGUACUAUGUUAUUGAUACAUUUUUUUUUAUGCCAGCAUGCAUUUACACACACUCACAAGCCCUCUACCCGGGCCACAACCUUAUAGGACUAGAAUUGAGGAUGGAGUAGUGUUGACUUUCGAAGGGUUUCGACUCUCGUGUAGGCACAUGAAAAAUCCUCGCUCAGAUUAAUUCUUUUGUUAUUUCUUAAAUAACAUUAGAAAGUUUGAGGGCCUUUUAACUUAUAAGAGUUUAGAUAAUACCAACACCAUGUCAUUUUCUUUUUGACAUAUUUUAUCCAAAAGUCAACUAUUCAAAUUAUUUUUAUUUAUUUAUUUUAACAAAGUUUCACAUUUUCCUAAAAUUUUAAAUAAUACAUAUUUCAUUUUUUUAAAAAAAGAAUUUCAAUAAUAGUAUUUUCUAUAUUAUUAUUAUUUUGAGUUUGAUAUUUAAAUUUUAUUUAUCUUAGUUCCCUAGAAUUUGGGUCAUUUGGCUUCAUGCAUAGUUUAAAGAAAGUAAUGUUUACAUUGUAGAGGUACAUGAAAACCUUUAUAUUUUCUAAAAUUAACUAAAUAUUAAAAAACAAUUAAGCUAAAGUACAUAAAAUUCUUAUUUCUUUCAUUUUCAUGUUUUUUCUUUCUUUUUGAUUUUUGAUUUUUGAUUUUAAAUUUUUAAUUUUAAAUUUUAAAUUUUUAAUUUUAAAUUUUAAAUUUUAAAUUUUAAAUUUUAAAUUUUAAAUUUUUCUUUCUCUUUCUUCCCUUGCUCUUUAGUCUUCAAAGUUUUCAAAAUAGUCAAAGUAAAACAUAGCUCACCCUACUCCAAUUCAUCAUCCUUACAAUACGAUGCAUAAAAGUCGAAUCAUGGAAGAACAAGAUAAAGACAUGGAUAAAAUGAGACAAGAUAUUAAUAGUCUUGGGGAACAAGUUUCAAAAAUACUGGAAUUGCUUUCAGUAGGAAAAGAAAAAGUCGUCAUAGAAACAGCACAAUCAAGUAAUCCGGUUCAAGACACCGAUGAUCCCAUUUAUCCCCCAGGAUUUACGCCACGCCACAUGAACGCUACACAGUCUCAAACCGCUCAACAUUAUGUUGCUAUGAAUCCACUUUUUGAUGUUCCACCUCCUGUCCCAGAUAUAGAACAAUUGGAAACUCAGGCUAAAAUUCAAGACAUGGGGCAAAAUGAAAACACUCCGGCUAAGCAAAAACUAGAUGUUUUGGAAGAAAGAUUGCGAGCAAUUGAAGGGACUGAUGUUUAUGGAAAUAUAGAUGCAACACAGUUGUGUUUAGUACCGGGUUUGAUCAUUCCAACAAAGUUUAAAGUUCCCGAAUUUGACAAAUAUGAUGGAUCAUCGUGUCCAAGGAGUCAUCUUAUAAUGUAUUGUAGAAAGAUGGCAGCGCAUAUUGGUAAUGACAAAUUGUUGAUCCAUUGCUUUCAGGACAGUUUGACUGGUCCAGCUACUCGAUGGUAUAUUCAAUUAGAUAAUGCACACAUUCAUGUUUGGAAGGAUUUAGCUGAUGCAUUUCUAAAGCAAUACAAACAUAAUAUUGAUAUGGCUCCAGAUCGUUUAGACUUACAACGGAUGGAGAAGAAAAGUUCAGAAAGCUUUAAAGAAUAUGCUCAACGAUGGAGAGAUAUAGCCGCAGAGGUUCAACCACCAUUAACAGACAAAGAAAUGACAUUUAUGUUUAUGAAUACUUUGCGGGCGCCGUUCUAUGAUCGAAUGAUUGGUAAUGCUACAACCAAUUUUUCUGACAUUAUUGUUAUUGGUGAAAGAAUUGAAUAUGGGAUAAAACAUGGGAGGUUAAUAGAGACUUCAGCUGAGUAUGGUGGAUUAAAGAAAGGAGCAACACCUAAGAAGAAAGAAGGUGAGGUUCAUGCAAUUGGUUUUCCUAAUUUAGGGAACCACAAAUCAACUUUUGGCCAAAGAAAACAUGACCAAAGUUUUCCUUCAUAUAUAAGCAAUGUUACUCAUAUCCCUUAUAACAACUAUGUACCAACCCACUCUCCCUCUGGAGCCCCAAAACUUGUAAAUUCAAACUUUUCUCGACCGUUUGUACAAGGUCAGGGUAGCAAGACCAACUCAGAAACAUUUCGAUUUGACCCAAUUCCUAUGACAUAUACAGAGCUUUUACCUCAGCUAGUUCAUAAUCGACAGUUAGCUCCUAUCCCAAUAAAUCCUAUACAACCUCCUUAUCCAAAAUGGUAUGAUCCAAAUGCUCGAUGUGAUUAUCAUGCCGGAGGAGUGGGACACUCAACUGAAAAUUGUUUAGCUUUGAAAAGGAAGGUGCAAUCUUUAAUUAAUGCUGGAUGGUUGAGCUUCAAAAAAGCUGGGGAGAAGCCGGAUGUCAACAACAAUCCACUUCCUAAUCAUGAAAAUUCAAAAGUGAAUGCGAUAGAUUGUUUUGUUGGAAAGUGUAAAAAUGAAGUUCAUGAGAUAAGGAUGCCUAUGGAAACACUUUUUGAAGGUCUUUUUGAAGCAGGAUAUGUUAGUUUGGAGUAUUUAGACCCCAAUAUAAGAUACGAAGGAUACGAUGAAGGCAAACGUUGUAUAUUCCAUCAAGGAGUUGCAGGCCAUCCUAUCCAACGAUGUUGUACAUUUAGAUCUAAAGUACAACAAUUUAUGGAUUCGAAGAUACUCACAGUAUACGAAGGACAAGGAAAAGAUGAGAUGAAAGACAAUAAAAUAUGUACAUUAAUGGGUGAAGUUGCAAAAAAGGAAAAUCCCUUUUUACCAAGGCCUUUGACAGUCUUUUAUCAAGAAAAUCGUAAUAAAUCAAGUUCUUGCAAUCCUAAACAACUCAUUGUCGAAGUACCGAGUCCUUUCAAAUUUAAGGAUUUGAAAGCGGUGCCAUGGCGGUAUGAUUGCCAAGUCAUUACAGGUCCUUCAGUUGAUAAUAUUACAGGAAUCAGCGGGAUAACUCGAAGUGGAAGAUGUUAUAAACCAGAUAAUUUAACAGCUCCUUCAAGUAGUUUAACAUUGGGGCAAGGGAGGAAAAGUGAGAAAAGAAAUGUGAAUGAACAUGACAAAGAGCAGGAUGUAGAGAUGUCUGUCACAGCAAAAGAUAUAGAAUGCAAAAAACCUGUUACAGAUGAGGCAGCAAACGAAUUCUUGAAAAUAGUAAAACAAAGUGAGUAUAAGAUUAUAGAGCAAAUGCAUAAUACUCCAGCUCGAAUUUCUUUAUUAUCUUUGUUUUUAAAUUCAGAGCCUCAUCGCAAAGUGCUAUUAGAUAUUUUGAAUAAGGCACAUGUUGGACAUGACAUUUCAGUGGAAAAGUUCAGCGGAAUUAUUGGAAGCAUUACGUCUUCAAAUUCUAUAGUCUUCACGGAUGAUGAAAUUCCCCCUGAAGGUGUAGGCCAUAUAAAAGCACUGCAUAUUCAAGUGAAGUACAAGGAUUAUGUUAUAGCAAGAGUUUUAGUGGAUAACGGUUCAGCUCUUAAUAUAAUGCCUAAAUCUACACUAUUAAAGCUCCCAGUGGACAUGUCAUACAUCAAAUCAAGUACUAUGGUAGUGAGAGCUUUUGAUGGAUCACGAAGAGAAGUAAUUGGUGAUAUUGAAUUACCAAUCAAAAUUGGCCCAUGUACUUUCAAUAUAGUCUUUCAAGUAAUGGAGAUAACACCUACUUACAGCUUUUUGUUAGGUCGUCCUUGGAUUCACUCUGCAGGAGUGGUGCCAUCUACAUUGCAUCAAAAAUUGAAAUUUAUUGUUGGGAGUAAGAUGAUUUGUUUAAUGGGAGAGGAAGAUUUUCUGAUAACAAAACCGAUAUCAACCCCAUAUGUGGAGGCAACAGAAGAAGCUUUAGAGUGUUCUUUUCGCUCUUUUGAAAUUGCUCAUGCAACUAUGAUGGAAGCAACUGCAGGUGAAGUAAUAAAGUCACACAUGCCUAAAGUUACGACAAAAAGGAUGAUGAGAAGUGGAGGAUAUGGUUUGAAUCAAAGCUUGGAAACACUUCUAAAUACACCAAGCAAUGAAGGGAGAUUUGGUUUGGGUUAUAUGCCAAACGUAUAUGAUAAAAUUAGGCUUCAAAAAGAAAAGAAGAAAAGGUGUUUGGAAAAGCAAGGGAUGAUGGUGUUUGAUCCAAGUCUAAAAUUUAUACCAGCAUUAUAUGAUACUUUCAAGAGUGCUGGUAUAAGUUACUCAUCACGUGACUCUGAUUCAAAACAUUGUUUGUUAACAAAGAUGGAGAGUUUAUCAAUUGCAGCAGUGGCACAAGAAGCAUCAUUUGAAGAUGAAACAGUUUAUGCAUGUCCACCUAAUUUUGAGCUUAACAAUUGGGAUGUUGUAGACCUACCUACAUUUUCUGGAGAUUUUCAAGAGUAAUGAUUAAACUUUUAUUUGUUUUAAUUUUCUAGUUGGUUCUACUUAAGGCCACAGUAUUUUGUUUGCUUUACAAAAUGGAAUGUACUUUUUUUUUUCCUCUUUCUUGUUAUUUAAUGAAAUUUUCGCAUUUUCCUUUCAUUCUUUCUAAUUUCUUCUUCUCUCUGCUUUCUUUCUUGCAUCUUGCAAAUUAAACACAAAAGUCCAAACUUUUUCAUAGACAACAUUCAUAAGAACGAAGAUGUUAGUAAUUCCAGUUCUACCCUUGAUACCUUAAUAUACACUAUGGAAUCUGACAAAGAGAGUGACGAUGAAAAUGCUGGGAGAAUAUCCUCAGAACUGUUAAGAUUAGUAGAAGAAGAAGAUAAGGUCUUAGGUCCUCACCAAGAGCUAGUUGAAGUAAUCAAUUUGGGUUCUCAGGAGGAAUCAAAAGAGGUAAAAAUUGGCACAUCAAUGACCAGUGAAACUCGAAAAAAAAUAAUCAAUUUGUUACGUGAGUACUCAGAUAUUUUUGCUUGGAGUUAUCAGGAUAUGCCGGGGUUAAAUACGGAUAUUGUAGUACAUCGUGUUCCUUUGAAGCCAGAAUGCAAUCCAGUAAGACAAAAGCUACGUAAAAUGAAGCCUGAUAUAUUGAUUAAAAUGAAAGAGGAAGUACAAAAACAAAUUGAAGCAGGAUUCCUCAUAGUCUCCAAAUAUCCUGAAUGGGUGGCAAAUAUUGUUCCAGUACCUAAAAAAGACGGAAAAAUGAGAAUGUGUGUGGACUAUAGAGAUUUAAAUCGAGCUAGUCCAAAAGAUAACUUCCCUUUACCUCACAUCGACAUGUUGGUGGAUAACACUGCAGGAUAUUCAACUUUCUCCUUCAUGGAUGGUUUCUCAGGAUAUAAUCAAAUCAAAAUGGCUGAAGAAGAUAGAGAAAAAACAACAUUCAUUACCCUUUGGGGAACAUUUUGCUACAAAGUAAUGCCUUUUGGUUUGAAAAAUGCCGGGGCAACAUAUCAGCGAGCAAUGGUUACACUUUUUCAUGAUAUGAUGCAUAAGGAAAUAGAGGUGUAUGUUGAUGAUAUGAUUGCAAAAUCCAAGGCAAAUGAAGAUCAUACAACUAUACUUCAAAAAUUAUUCGAUCGGUUGAGAAAGUAUCAAUUGAAAUUAAAUCCAUCCAAAUGUACAUUUGGGGCAACCUCGGGAAAACUGUUGGGAUUCAUUGUCAGUGAAGAAGGGAUCAAAGUAGACCCAGAUAAAGUGAAGGCUAUCAUGGACAUGCCAUCCCCUGAAACGGAAAAAGAAGUUCGAGCCUUUCUUGGAAGACUGAAUUACAUAUCCAGAUUUAUCUCACAUUUGACCCCAACUUGCGAACCAAUCUUCAAGCUUUUACGUAAAAAUAAUCCAGGAAAAUGGAAUGAGGAUUGUGAAGAAGCUUUCAACAAAAUUAAGCAAUAUCUACAAAGCCCACCUGUAUUGAUACCUCCAGCUCCAGGACGGCCGUUAAUCCUAUACUUGACGGUUUUAGAAGGUUCUAUGGGUGGUGUUCUAGGACAACAUGACUUAUCAGGAAAGAAAGAGCAUGCUAUUUAUUAUUUAAGCAAAAAAUUCACCGAUUAUGAGUCGAAAUACUCAAUGUUAGAGCGAACUUGUUGUGCUUUGGUAUGGACCGCUCACCGUUUGAGGCAAUAUAUGUUAUAUCAUACGACAUGGCUUAUUUCAAAAAUGGAUCCAAUAAAAUACAUUUUUGAGAAACCGUCAUUAUCUGGUAGAAUUGCAAAGUGGCAAGUUUUGUUGUCAGAGUAUGAUAUUGUUUAUGUUACUAAAAAAGCAAUAAAGGGAAGUGCGCUUGCUGAUCAUUUAGCUGCCCAACCAGUAGCAGAUUACGAGCCAAUGAGCGUUGAUUUUCCUGAUGAAAACAUAUUUUUAGUUGAAAAUGAUGCUACGGAUCAUGAGACUUGGAUUAUGCUUUUUGAUGGUGCCUCAAAUGAGUUGGGACAUGGGAUUGGAGUUGUACUAAUUUCCCCAAAAGGAAAGGUAUUUCCCCUAACAGCUAAGUUAUGUUUUGAAUGCACUCACAAUAUCGCUGAAUAUGAAGCUUGUAUUAUGGGACUUCAAGCAGCAAUCGACAUGAGUGUUAAAAAGUUGAAAGUUUUGGGUGACUCAAUGCUAGUAAUACAUCAAGUCAAGGAAGAAUGGGAAACAAGAGAUGCUAAAUUGGUUCCUUAUAGCCAAUACAUUGCAAAAUUAUCUCAAAAUUUUGAGAAAAUUUCAUUUGACCAUGUUCAUAGGGAAGACAAUCGAAUGGCAGAUGCAUUAGCCACCCUGGCAGUCAUGUUUAAUCUUAAUCUUGAGUAUGAGCUUUAUCCAAUCCAAAUUACGAAAAGAGAUGCGUCGGCAUAUUGCAUGAAUAUUGAAAAUGACAACAAGCCAUGGUAUUUUGAUAUCAAGCAAUACAUAAAGUGUAGAGAAUAUCCAUAUGGAGCUUCAAAGAAUGACAAACGCACAAUAAGAAGGUUGGCCAUGAACUUUUUCUUAAGUGGUGAAGUUCUUUAUAAAAGAAACCAUGAUAUGGUACUCCUUCGGUGUGUUGAUGUGGAAGAAGCAAAACAAAUUAUGAUAGAAAUUCAUGAAGGAAUAUGUGGAACACAUGCUAACGGACAUACUAUGGCCAGACAAAUACUUAGAUCUGGUUAUUAUUGGACAACGAUGGAAUCAGACUGCAUAAAAUAUGCAAGAGAAUGUAAAAAGUGUCAAAUUUAUAUGGAUAGGAUUCAUGCAGCAGCAUCUCCAUUGCAUGUCUUGUCAGCACCAUGGCCAUUUUCUUUGUGGGGAAUUGAUGUUAUUGGACCCAUUGAUCCUAAAGCCUCAAAUGGUCAUCGUUUUAUUCUUGUAGCCAUUGAUUACUUCACUAAAUGGAUAGAGGCGGCAUCUUACUGCAAUGUUACAAGAGGAGUGGUACUCAAGUUUAUCAAAAAAGAGUUGAUCUGUCGUUAUGGUCUACCAGAGGGUAUUAUUACAGAUAAUGCCAAGAACCUUAAUAACAAAAUGAUGGACGAACUUUGUGAGAAAUUCAAGAUCAAUCACAGAAAUUCGACUCCAUAUCGCCCCAAGAUGAAUGGGGCAGUUGAAGCAGCCAACAAAAAUAUUAAAAGAAUUAUUGAGAAGAUGACAACAACAUACAAAGAUUGGCAUGAAAUACUACCGUUUGCAUUGCAUGGAUAUCGCACAUCAGUUCGUACUUCAACAGGGGCAACACCAUUUUCUUUGGUUUAUGGUAUGGAAGCUGUCCUACCUUUAGAAGUUGAGAUACCUUCAUUGAGAGUUCUCAUGGAAGCUAAGUUAGAUGAAGCUGAAUGGAUAAGAGGUCGUUAUGAGCAGUUGAAUUUCAUUGAAGAAAAACGUUUGACAGCAUUAAGUCAUGGACAACUUUACCAAAAAAGACUAAUGCGAGCAUACAAUAAAAAGGUACACCCUCGAAGUUUUCGAGAAGGAGAUUUAGUGUUAAAAAGGAUACUUCCAUUUCUAAAGGACCAUCGAGGAAAAUGGACUCCUAAUUAUGAAGGUCCGUUCAUGGUAAAAAAGGCAUUUUCAAGAGGAGCUUUACUUUUAACCAAUAUGGAUGGUUUUGAGUUAAAAAAUCCGGUGAAUUCAGAUUAUGUUCGAAGAUACUAUGCGUGAGCCCUUUUCAUAGAAAACUUCGUAGUGUUGAAGGAAGUCGGGGGUAUUUCUAGGAAACUUACAUUUAGUUCCUAGAAUGUUAUUUCCAUUUGUAUAAACUUCCCCUUAUCUCCUCUCUUUGUACUCCUAUUCCAAGAAUCGUUGUUAUCUUUUCAUUUCUUAUCAUAUAUAUCAAACACUUCUUUAUUUGUCAUUCCUUUCUUUCAUCCUUUUUAAAUGCCAUCAAAUUAGAGUAAACAUCCAUUAUUCAUUAGCCCAUUUGUUCUAUCUAUUUGUUAAUUAAUAAAGAUUCAGUACGACUUAUUGUAUUUGCAAACCAAGUAAAAGCCAUGAUUUUCUCUUGUUAAGACUUAAGGAAAUGUAGGCGUUUACAAGUCCAGACACAUUUCUCUAUGAUUGUGAGUUGCUGUAAUUGGAAGUCUACAUCCUAAAGGAUUCAUGUUUUGUGAAGUCCAAAACUAAAACAAUAUUAUGUUUUUACAACAUAGUACAAUCUAUCGCAGUUGGAUUCAUUUGUUUUGAUACGAAGAGAGGCGAGUUUGACAGCUUAAAAAAUUCUCGUGAUAUAUGUCUUAUUCUAUCCUAUGACGACAAUGCUCAUAAAUUGUUAAUGGUAUUGGUAAAAUGGAGUAGUGAGCUAUUUAUUCCUUUGAAAAGCACAAUAUAUUUAAAUUAAAUUUCAAAUAGUUUUAAAAGAAGGAUGAGUCCAGAUAUGAAGCUAUGAAGCUGAGGCCGAAGCCUGUCUAUCAGGUCCUUCCACUUUAUCAAACCUAGUCCUAGAGCUAAGGUUGAUUUUUUUUUUUAUUUUUUUUUCUUUUUUCUCUCUCUAAAAUAAAAAAGAUCGGCCAAAUACUUUAUCUAUUUCCUUUGUUCACCUUUAAAUAUUUACAGGAUGGACAAAGGGGGGCAAACUGUAGAUACCGUAUUUUGUCCUAUAUUUAUUUAUUAUAAAAGAAAAAAGAAAAAGAAAAAGAAAUUAAAUUUGAAUUUGAAUUUGAAUUUGAAUUUGAAUUUGAAUUUGAAUUUGAAUCUUAAAUUUAUAUUUAAAAAAAAUAAUAAUAAUAAUAAUAAAUACAUUUAAAAAUAAAUAAUAAAAAUAAAACUAAAAGGUUUGAUUUCCUUCCUAUUUUUUUCUCAACCAUCCCUUUUUCUUCGUCAUCACUCUCCCACUUUCUCCCACUCUAUCACUUUCUCCCACUCUCCCACUUUCUUCCUAUUUCUCUGUAAUCUGCACUCCAUCUCGUGAUCUAAAAAAAAGCAAUGGAGCUUGCCCUAUAAAAAGGAAAGAGGAAAAAGAAAACAGGGGGAUCUUUUUUUUAUUAUUGGAGGAUUUAGAAAGAGGGGAAGAGUGAAAGAAGAUCAAAAAGGAAUAACCUUUGGCAUUGAAGGGAAGAGUGAAAGAAGAUCAAAAAGGAAUAACCUUUGGCAUUGAAGGGCAGACCUGCUGGUAAGUUUUUUUUUCUUUUUCCUCUUUUUAUUCUUAUUCUUGUUUAAUGAUUUUUUUUUUUUCUUCUUCUUGUUUGAUAUACUGCUUUUAAUUAUGAACUAUCGUGUUCAUCAUUUUACCAUCAUUUAACAUGUUAAUUUUAUUAUUUGUAUCUUUCUUAAUACUGAGCAUUCUACCUUCCAUAUUAAAUUUUUUAUUUUUUAUUUUUAAAUAUUGAACAUUCUGUUCUGUGUUAAUUUCUUUUCAAUUGUUGUGUAUCCAUUCUGUGUAUCCAUUCUGUGUAUCCAUUAUGUAUAUCCAUUAUGUGUUAAUUUUUAAAUAUUGAACAUUCUGUUCUGUGUUAAUUUCUUUUUAAUUGUUGGGUAUCCAUUCUGUGUAUCCAUUAUGUGUAUCUAUUAUGUAUACCCAUUCUGUGUUAAUUUUUAUAUAUUGAGCAUUCUGUUAUGUGUUAAUUUUCUUUUAUUACUGGGCAUCUGUGUUAAUUUCUUUUUAAUUAAUUAGCAUCAUAUAUUUGUAUUUGGAUACUCAUUCUUCAUUGACACCCAUUUUACAGUUAAUUACUUAUUACUUAUAUCCAUAUGGCAUCCUUAAUAAUUAUGCAUAAUUAAUCAAUUAGCCUUUUGUAUUUGGUAAUACUCAUUCUUCAUUGGCAUCCAUUUUACAGUUUUUGUUAAUUACUUUAUCCAUGUAUCCAUAUGGGUAGGCAUACCCUGUUAAUAAUUACUGUUAUCCAUAUAUUAUCCAUGUUAAUAAUUAUGCGUGAUAUAAUUAAUAUUUGGCAACAACCAUUUUUCAUUUGGCCUAUUAAUUAAUUAGCAACUUGUAUGUGACAUUUUCACUCCCUCAUUCUAAUUAUUUGCAUGAUGUAUUAAUUAAUCAGUAUGCAUAUGUGGCUAUAAUUAUUUGAUAUUUAUUUGGUGUGAUUAUUUAUUCGCAAUAUUAUUUAUUUGUAUAUUGGGCCAAACCUACUUUAGCAUUCAACUGUUAAUUAUUAUUUGAUAUCCAUUUGGCCUCGUUUAAUUAUGCAUUAAUCAAUUAUUUUGCAUCCUGCAUUAAUCAAUUAUUUUGCAUCAUUUUGAAUUAAUUAAUUAUGUUGCAUAUGUUGUAUUAAUUAAUUAUCUUGCAUCCUACAUUAAUAUCUUUUACAUUUUGCAUAUAUUAUCAAUGUAUUUAUUUUAUCUCAGCAUAUUACACCUAAGUAUUUUUCAAAUUUCAUAAUGUUUUGUCAUUGUUAUUAUUUUUUUUUAUAAUAAUGUAAAUUGGAGAAAAAGUAUUGUUUUUUAUGGAUUUUAUAAUUUAAAAUCCAUAAAUACAUGAAAUUUUUCCGUUUGAAAUUUAAUUAAUAGAUUUUUUUUUUUAAAUUAACACAUUUCAUAUUUUAAAUGAGACUGAGUAGUAUUUUCUAUGAAUUUAUUAAUUCUAGAUAUAUGAAAUUUUUCAUUAAACACCUAUGAUAGAGAUUAAAAUAUCAAGUGUUGGUAUCUUAAUAUUCUUAAGGUGAAUAAAAAUAUUUUAAAACAAAAAUAAACUUAAUUUUUCUAAUGGCUCCUAUGCCACUCAUAAUCAUCAAUUCAUGCUUAGUUUUUACUUUCUUCGAUAUGAAUUGAUAAACAUGGGACAUUUAAACAAAACCUAAAUAAAAUUUUAUUUUGUGAACCUUUAUAAUUUAAUUUAAAAGAUAAAAUUGGGUAACCAUUUUUUUGGGUGUUGUAGGGUGCUAACACCUUCCCUACACAUAACUGACUCCCGAACUUAAAUCUCUGAAUGUACGCAGACCAUUUUUUUUUUUCUUUCUUUUUUUUUGGGUGACCAAUCACACCUUAAUAUGAUUGGUGGCGACUCCAAAAUUUUUUAUUAAAAUAAAAUAAACGGGGAGGUCGGCCGCUCCGCGUAGCGAUCACGUCGCGACAGAAGUCAAAGAAGCUUCUUGAUCAAUUUUGGGGAGAUGCAGUAACUUGUGUUGUUUAUCUCCUAAAUCGAGUUUCAACGAAAAGUGUGCAAGGUAUUACUCCUCAAGAAGCAUGGAGCGGAUUGAAACCAACUGUUCGUCACCUAAGAGUGUUUGGGUGUAUUGCUUACUCUCACAUUUCAGCUGAGAAAAGAGGUAAGCUAGAUGAUAAAUCAGAAAAAUUCAUUUUUGUUGGGUACAGUGAGAACUCUAAGGCCUACAGACUAUACAAUCCGAUAAGUAAGAAAGUUAUUAUUAGUCGAGAUGUCAAGUUCGAUGAAGCAAAAUUGUGGCAAUGGAAUGCACCAAAUGAAGACCAAAAUCCAUUACAUGUUGAUAUGGAUGUGAAAGAAAAUGCUCGAGACUUGGAGCUUGAAGUAACUCAACCACUGACUUCACCUUCUUCAUCACACUCCACAAGUGAUGAAGAAACUACUCCAAGGAAGACCAGAAAUAUUCAAGAGAUCUAUAAUACUUCAAGAAGGAUACUAGAUGAAGAACAUGUUGAUUUUGCUUUAUUUGCAAAUGUUGAUCCUGUAUACUUUGAAGAAGCAAUUCAAGAUGAAAAUUGGAAAGAUGCAAUGAAUCAAGAGAUUGAUGCAAUAAGAAGAAACGAGACAUGGGAGUUAGUAAAAUUACCAGAAAAUAAAAAGGCUCUUGGAGUCAAAUGGAUCUAUAGAACAAAGCUAAAGCAAAACGGAGAAGUGCAAAAAUACAAGGCCAGACUCGUUGUAAAAGGUUACAAACAAAAGUUUGGUGUGGAUUAUGAAGAAGUUUUUGCACCGGUAACUCGCUUGGAGACUGUUCGUUUGUUGUUAGCCCUUGCAGCAAAAAAUGACUGGAAAGUUCAUCAAAUGGAUGUAAAGUCAGCAUUCCUAAAUGGGUAUUUAGAGGACGAAAUAUAUGUUGAGCAACCCCCGGUUAUGCAAAGAUUGGAGAAGAAAAUAAGGUGUGUCGAUUAAAGAAAGCCUUGUAUGGGCUAAAGCAAGCACCAAGGGCUUGGUACAGUCGCAUCGACAAUUUUUUCUUAAAGGAUGGUUUCAGAAGAUGUCCAUAUGAACAUGCUCUCUACACCAAAGAAGAUGAAAAUGGUAAUUUCUUGAUAAUUUGUCUAUAUGUUGAUGAUUUAAUAUUUACGGGCAACUCAAAUAUGAUGAUUGAAGAAUUCAAAGAGAGCAUGAAAAAGGAAUUUGAGAUGACUGAUAUGGGUUUACUUCAUUAUUUUCUUGGUAUUGAAGUUAAACAAGGUGAUAAUGAGAUUGCAAUUUUCCAAAAGAAGUAUGCAAAAGAUUUGUUGAAAAAGUUCAAAAUGGAGAAUGCUUAUCUUGCCAGUACUCCUAUGGAAUUGGGUUUAAAGUUAAGUAAGCAUGAUGUUAGUGAAACUUUUGAUGCCACCAUUUAUAGAAGUUUGGUUGGAAGUUUAAUGUAUUUAACUACAACUAGACCUGAUAUUAUGUUCUCGGUCAGUUUAUUGAGUAGAUUUAUGACAUCACCAAAGAGAAGUCAUUGGGAAGCUGGAAAGAGAGUUCUUAGAUGCAUUCUUGGAACUGUUGAUCAUGGAAUCCACUAUAAAAGGAAUGUAGAUAAUGUUCUUGUUGGCUACAGUGAUAGUGAUUGAGGAGGAAAUAUUGAUGAUUUCAAAAGUACUUCUGGGUAUGUAUUUAAUAUUGGUUCUGGAGCAGUUUCAUGGGCAUCAAAGAAGCAAGAUGUUGUAGCAUUGUCCACAACAGAAGCUGAAUACAUUUAUUUGUCUGUUGCUAGUUGUCAAGCACUUUGGCUAAGAAAUGUACUACAUGAAUUGAAGUGUCCUCAAGAGAAAGGGAUCAUCAUCUUUUGUGACAAUCAAUCGAUCUAUUUCACUUUCGAAGAAUCCCGUUUUUCAUGGAAGAAGCAAACACAUAAACAUCAAAUCUCAUUUCAUCAGAGAAUUGAUCAAAGAUGAAGAAGUUUAUAUCAAGUAUUGCAAGAGUCAAGAUCAAGUUGUAGACGUAUUCACAAAAGCAUUAAAGACAGAUUGAUUCUUGAAAAUGAAAGAGAAGCUCGGAGUUUGGAAAGUCUAGCUUAAGGGGGCAUGCUAGAAAUUAAUAAGCUAGAUACAUUAUGGAUAAUACAUUAAUAGAUACAUUUCUAGUUUCAAGAUAAAUAUGCAUUUCUAGAUACAUGUAAUUAUUCAAGUACAUGAAUGGUAUGUAUACAUGUACUUCAUUUAUUUUGUGUCCUUUAGGAAGUGUCUCUUGAGUACUAUAUAUAGAGAUCAUUUCCUUCAUUUGUAUGCAAGAUAAAAGAAUCAAAUCAAUAUAAGCAAAUUGAGUUUUAGAAAGUAAGUGAGUUUCAAGAGAACAAUAUUAUUCUCUUGUGUGUUAUUGAGUUUUCUAAGAGAACAAGUUUCUUCUCUUAAAAGUUUGUGAGAUUUAGAGUAAAUUUAGAGUGGGCUCGUCAACACCUCCAACACUUUGAUACCAUUCAUAAUUGAUGCACCUACUGUCAAGGUGACCUGUUGUGACAUACAAUCAUAGAUAUUUUACAUAUAGUUUAGACAAUAACUGAGACAAAUAAAAAACCAAGAAGAAAAAAUAAAAGGAAAGUGAUAUGAAAGUUGAUAACCGUUCGCUAAUAUAUCACCUACUUACUUUUGAAGGUUUGUGUGUCCAUAAAAAAUAAUUCGUUAAUAUUAAAAGUUAAUUAUACCAAUUACAACGAAGUAUUUAUAUGUAAUAAGCAUUAUAGUAACUCGCGUAUAGCCUAAAUGAACAGCUAAGUGUCCCCUAGAUGGCAGACUCCCUCUCAAGAUAACUUAGGCUCUCCUAAUUAAUGUACCAAUAUUAGUAUCUUCACCUCAGUUUCCACUUCGUGAAUGUGAGACUCCCUCCCACCAAGAUAUUUUCUUUAUGAUCAAGUUCUCUUUGCUGAAAGAUCUUAGACUCUCCCUAAGAUAGAGAAUCUUUUCUCCUCGUGCUAAAGUAUGAGGCCCCCUAAGACCAAGAAUCUCUUCUUGGUGGCAAGCAACUAAUGAAGAACAUACUACAAAACAAGGUGAGCAAUGAGCAAUAACAUUAAAAACGCAAGGAUGCCUUGCAUGAAGAACGUACUGUAGUUUGCCAAAUAAACAAAUUCAUUUUCAAUAAACAAAUUUGGCAACCCUGAAAGAGUUUUAUAAUUUGCACUAAAAAAAUUGAUCCAUUAAAGAAAAUAACAAAAUAUCAGUUGUCCCAAACUGUAAAAGAUUUCAAAUAAAAAUAAGGUAAUGGCAUGAUUCCAUAAUAAGGAAAAUAUUUGCUGUGAAGUCUUAGAAUGUUAAAACUUUGCAGAAGAGAACAUAGCAACCGUCUGGUCUUCUAAAAUUAUAAUAUGCCAACUAACAAAUAUUAUAAAUAUUCUUCAUCUUCAUUUUCGCUACUUUGCAAUUUUAUCCAGAAUUAACUUUUUUUUACUUGGAUGUGAUAAAACUGUGGUUUUACAAAAGGUAUAAGGAUUAAUUCUUUAUUUUUUUUCAUUAUAUGGUAUUGUCCUUCUUUCUUUUUUCCUUUAUCAAGUAUUGUUCCAAGAUCGUUUAAAUUUAGUACAAAAUCGUUUAGAUCGAUACAAUGAUAAAAGAUCAUUUAUACUAGGUACAUGGUAUAAAAUUGUUUUUGACUAGACCGAAAGGAAUAUCGUGUACCAAGAUUGUUUAGAUUUAAUACAAAAUUGUUUAGAUUUGGUAUAAGACCGUUUAGACGAGGUACAAUAUUGUUUAAACUGAGUACAAUAGUACAUGAUUGUUUAGACGAGGUACAAGGAUACAAUAUCGUUUAGAUUAGGUUCAAGAUCGUUUAGACAGGAUACAAUAUCGUUUUUCGCACGUGUGUUGCUGAUUAAUCUUGAUAUGUUUUUGUUAUUUCACGGUGUGGGCUUUUUCCUUUUCAAAAUUAUUUUAUACUGGAUAAAUAUUUUUGUAUUUUGUUAUAUUUUUUAAUAAGGGGCAUUUUUAAAAAUAACAAAAUAAAUAAAAAUAUUUACAAGUUAUAGCAAAAUUUUAGAUUCUAUCAAUGACAUUUUCUUCUAUCACUAUAAGAUAUCAAUGAUUAUCUGUAAUAAAAUUUGAUAUCGAUUGUAAAUAUUUUGUAAAAUUUACUAUUUUUUAAAAUUUCCGUAUUAAAAAUACCUAUACAGUAUAUGACACUUUUUUUUUUUUUCCUUUUUAUAAUUAUGUAAAGAAAAUAAAUUUUAGAAAAGAUUUAUUUUCAAAUUCAGAAAAAUAUAUCAAUUUAUUUUAAAAAGGUUCAUUUUAUCCAAGUUGUUGACAAACAUUGUUAUCAAAGUUACUUAGGAUUGAUGGUAGAUGUCUAUUACCAUUGUCUGUCUAUAUCAUCGUCUAUAGUUGAAAGAAUACAUAUUUUGCCAUAUUUUUUAAUGGUUCUCUGCUAGAAUAAUAUUCCUUUUCGAAACUACACCUACAAAAUAAGAAAGCAACUGAAAGCAAAACAUAAGGAACAAUAAAAUAACAUAAUUUUUAUCUACAUGAAGCAUCUACCUCUUUUUCUUUUCUUUUCUUUUUUUUUCUUUUUACUUGGAAGUGAUAAAACCAACCCUGUACUCUACCUGCUGGCCAGCACAUUAGAACAACUACGACAAAAAAUUCUAAGAACAAGAAAAAAUAUGUAAUAAAAUAAUAUAGCUCAAGUUGUUUUAAAAUGGGAGCAUAUUAUUGAGAAUUUGUUGUUUGUGGGAGUGUUGUGUAAACCAAUUUUGUGAUCAUGGCUCUGGCUGGGAAGCUUGUGAGUGAAGUAGAAAUAAACACACCUCCCCAUAGAUUUUACAAACUCUUUAAAGAAGAAAUUAAUAGCAUUCCAAAUAUUUCUCCAAACUUAAUACAAAAAAUUCAAAUUCAUGAUGGGGAUUGGAGCAAACAUGGUCAUGGUUCCGUCAAGGUUUGGAAUUACACUAUUGGUACGUAUAUAUAAUCUUGUGACCUCUACAAUGAUAUAUUUUUCUUUUCCACUUUGUUUUAUUAUUAUUUGUUUUUUUAAUGAAGGACUUACUCCGCCUCUAAACAAUUAAUGGUUUCCUUUUCUUUGUGUUUAUAUGAAUUUUAAGAUAAUAGGGCUGAAGUUAUCAAAGAGCGAGUUGAAUUUGAUGACAAAAAACUUGUGGUAAGAGUAGUUGGAUUGGAAGGAGAUGUGUUUAAGCAUUACAAAACCUUCACUGGAACGUAUCAAGUUGUUUCUAAAGGACCCAAUCGUAGCGCCAUAAUAUUUACCUUGGAAUAUGAGAAACUUCAUGAUGGUCCUCCUUACCCUGACAAGUAUCAUGAGGCUAUGAAUAGCCUUGCUAAGGACAUUGAAUCUCACCUUAAAAAAUAAGGUUCAACGUGUUUUCUAACGUCCGCAAUAAUAAUACGAUAUGAAUAAGUAUGUUGUGUUAGGGUUGAUUCUAUAAGAUUGGGAGGAUUUUUGUAAUACUAAAUAAUGGUUAUCCUCGUGUAAAAUGAAAGAAA